rnacentral:lncRNA from 1 species
AGGAAGGGGAAUCCUUUUGUUUGGAGCCCAGCAUGUGAGAGCAGUUUCCAGGAUCUUAAACAGAAACUUGUUACUACACCAGUCCUUAUAGUGCCAGAUGGAUCUGGGAGUUAUGUGAUUUACAGCGAUGCCUCUUAGAAAGGAUUGAGUUGUGUAUUGAUGCAAUAAGGUAAGGUGGUUGUUUAUGCCUCUCCUCAGUUGAAGAGCCAUGAGCAGAACUACCCUACACAUGAUUUAGAGUUUGGCAGCAAUAGUUUUUGCACUUAAGAUUUGGAGGCAUUAUUUAUAUGGUGAGAAGAUUCAGAUCUUCAUUGACCAUAAGAGCUUGAAUUGGUCAAGGACUUAAAUAUGAGAUAAAUAUGAGAUAGCGCGGAUGGCUCGAGUUGUCAAGGACUACGAUCAUGAGAUCGUGAGUUAGUAGGAAGGUAUCAUACUCUGUAGCACUCAUUACUAGUCAGGUUCCUUUGCACAGAGAUCUUGAGAGAGCUAAGAUUGCAUUUUUAGUAGGAGAAGUCACCUCACAGUUAGCUCAGGUGUCAGUACAACCAACUUUGAGGCAGAGAAUUAUUAUUGCUCAGCUCACUGAUCCUUAUUUGGUUGAUAAGCGAUGCUUAACAGAAGUAGGGUAAGCUGAGGAGUUCUCUUUAUCCUCUGAUGAUGGACUCAUGUUCGAGAGACGGUUAUGUGUGCCAGCAGACAGUGUAGUUAAGACAGAGUUGUUGGUUGAGGCCCAUAAUUCUCCACUUUCUAUGCAUCCAAAUAGUACAAAGAUGUAUAAAUAUUUAAAACAAGUUUACUGGUGGAAAAAUAUGAAGAGGGAAGUGCCAGACUUUGUCAAUAAGUCUCUAGUUUGCUAACAGGUGAAGACAAGUUUACUGGUGGAAAAAUAUGAAGAGGGACGUAAUCUUAUUUUUAAAGUAUCUUAAUUUAAUUUAAUUUAUGAUGGAUUUAGUCUAGUGUUAUAAUUUUUAGAAUUGUUUGUUUUGUGGAAAUGUGAUUAAUUAAAUGUUCAAUGGAAGAUUAUUUAAUUAAUUGUAUUAUUGGAAAUUUUGGUGAGAUUUAAGAUUAUUGGCUAAUUAUAUAAAGUAAAUAUAAUAAACUAAGUCAUGGAAGGGUAAGAGUAAUUUAUUAUUGACUUUUUUAGGAAAGAUAUUUUUGAGCGAGAGAAAAUAAUUAUAUUGUGGAAAAUAUAAUUAUUUUGAAAGAUAUUGUAUUCUUGGGAAAAAUAAAAAAGUUUGGUUUGAUGAGGAGACAGAGUAUAAUUUAAUUGAGUUAACUUGUUAAUUGGAAAUGGAAAAGGAAUAAUGAUAAUAAUAAUAAAUAUCAUCAUUAUUAUUAUAUAUAAUUAACCCUCGUGAAACGUGCAAAGAAAAGAGAGAACUAUUCAUCAUCUUCUUCCUUCUUCACAAACCCUAGUCGACACUGAACCCAUUGCAAGGAUCAUUACUCGUCGUUUGUGGACACUGUCAUUCCUCCUCCGUUCGUGUACAGGUGAAGUUGAGGUGUCUCUCUCUUUUUAUUUAUUUUUCGCACGUUUUUGUCAAGCCUCAUUGUCGGCAAGUUCUGUCUCGUGCCACCAAAAUCUCAUCGCAGCAGCGGUCGAACGAACCUUUUGCCUGACCAAGCCGAUAUACAUCACCGAGCCGAUUCUCCACUUCUUCACAAGUUGCCCUCAACUCUGCUGAUUUUUCCUCUCUUUGCGAGUAGUGCGCCCAAGCUAACCGUCGAGCCGAUUUCCUUCUGUCAAGUUGUGUGAGCCAUUUCUACCUUAGUCCAAGCCAAGUUACUUUUUGUAUCUCUUGAGCCUUUUGGGUGAAUUUGUGUUGGGUUUGGUACGUCCAAAUGAAUAUUCUUUGGAUCUUAAAUAAGUUUACAAGAGAAUGAGUUGAAUUACUUUUGCUCGAAGGUUCAAGUGUUAAUUUGAGGAUUUGAAACUGCAAAUUUUUUCAUUCAAGGUUGUGUUGGAUUCAACCUUAGUCUUGGGGUGAGUUUGGAUGCUUAAUUAAAUAGUUGGAUGAUGGUUGACAAAAUUAACAAUUUUAAUUUUGUUUAUGUUUAGGCCUGACUUAAUUGAGAAUUGACUAUCAGGAAGGGACUAUAUUUUCACUAUAUUUUCAACUAAUUAAUCUCCAGGUAAAAGAUUCUACUACUAGCCUUUACAUUAUGUUUUACCUUAGUAUGCAUUAACAUAGUUAUGAUGCAUGUGAUGUGACUGUUAAGGAUGUUAGAUAAUGAUAGCAACAUAGAAAAUCGUUAUGUAUGACUGAGAUAUGUGAUGACCAUGAUAUGUUAUGAAUGAGAUAUACUAUGGUUGAGAUAUAUUACGAUUAAGAUAUGAUAUUUAUGUUAUGCUAUAUGUAUAUGCUAUGAUGUUCUGUUAGCUUUACUUGUUAGAGUCGUACCAUGUAGGUGUCCAUCGGGAUCACCACCUAUUUAUGUAUUUGUGGUUAGGUUUGAUGUGUGAUUCGACAAGAUCACUUACAACUUGACUCUUCUUUAGGUGAUUCCUUCUGCUUCACCAAGAGCCCAUAUAUGUCCCUACGAGAUCACUGGAUAGGGUGAUUCAGUAGAAUAAUAGAUAUGCGGUACUUUCUUAUAGGAGGACUUUAACGUAAAAUUAACAAACACGUAGUGGGACUAAUAGUGGAUCCCUUACUAAGUAUAAAUUUAGACUAACUCCUUUCUAGAUUUAAUUUUUCAGGCAAAGAUAGAGGUAAAGGCAAGUUGGCGAAUAACAAGAAGUGACCAUGGUUCUCCAUAGGGGACAAUUUAUGUUUUAUUUAGCAUUUAUAUUUUCAAUAUUAAAUUUUCAUAAACUUAUUUCAGAACCCAUAUUUACUUUUAGAUAUAUAUUUUUAUUUUAAAUAGGGCCCAAACUAAUAUUUUAUUUAUUGUUUUCUUUACAUACUUUACUUAUAUUUUAUGAAUAAAUAUUUGAAGUGUUUGUUUUAAAACUUAGUAUUUUCUUUGAUUUAAAUAAAAAGUCUUUAUUGUUUUAGUAGUAAUGACCUCAACUUAGUAUAAAGAGUUGGGUCGUUACACUUUCGAGUUAUGUAGAGGAUGUAAACCUAGUUAAGUCACUCCAUAAUUUGGGGUUGUCCAGCACACGUUUUAGUGUCAAAUUCUAAGAAGUUGGACUCUCGUUCAAGGUUAUGUCAAUUUUUUGGUUAUCCUAAAGAAACGAGAGGUGGUCUAUUCUUCGAUCCACAAGAAAACAAAGUGUUUAUAUUGACAAAGGCUACUUUCUUGGAAGAAAACAACAUGAGAGAUCAUAAACCAUGAAGCAAAUCAAAAUUAAGUGAAGCUACUAAUGAAUCAACAAGGGUUGUUGAUGAAGUUGGUCCCUCAUCAAGAGUUGAGGAAACCAACACAUCCUCUCAGGCAACCUAGUAAUUAAUUAAUUGGAAAAGUAAUUAAUUAAAUUAAAUCAUGAAUAAUACACAUAAAUGUAGCAAAACCCAAAAAUAUUUACGUCGCAUGUAACAAAAAAUUAAAGCACAUGAAGCCACCAUUAUUCUUUUUUAUAAAUUUCAGAUUUUCCCUUUGUCAUUAUUUUUGUGCAUUGUGAAACCAUUCUUCACUUCACUUCUUUUUCUUCUUCUUUGCAAUUUAUUCUUUUCUUCUUCGUAUUAUUAAUUUCUUCAUAUUAUUACUUCUCUUUCAUAUUCUCACUUCUUCUUGUCUGUGAUUUCUUCAUUUCCUUUUUCAAAAUUUCUUCCUUCUUCAUCUCUCAUCUUCUUUUUUUGCUUCUUGGUACAAGAUCUAAAUGAUAUUAGUACAUGAUUUAAAUGAUAAUGUAUCAAUAUCUAAAUCACCAGUUGUCUAUCCCAGAUAAACAGACAUAGACCACUGUUACUAAUGGAUCGUUUAGAUUUGGUACAAUAUUGUUUAGACUAAAUAAAAGAUCGUUUAUGUUGGAUUUAUGUCCUAAAACUCGUAGAUUGUAAAUAUAAUCUAUUAAUCGUUGUUAAUAACAUGUUAUUAUUGUAAUAAUUGUUAUUGGUUAUAAUAUUAGUUGUCUUAAUAACUCAAAUCAAACAAACUAACAUCCUAAGUUGUUUAAUGAAUCUUAAACAGUAUGUAGAGACAUAUAGGGAUAAAGGUUCAAGAUCAGCUUAAAGGUUCUAUAGUACAAGGAUAAGGCUGAAUACCUAAUCCUGGUAACACUAUGAAUAUGGCUCACUUUGUAUUUGAUACAAACACAAUGAUUCAACGCGUUUGUGUAGUUGACAUACGAGUGACGGUAUCUUAUGCAAUAAGUUUACAUAAGAUCAGACGGCAAAAUAAUAACUACUAAAUGAAACUCUGUUACUAGUCAGGUUUCUAUUCAUUAGGAUGACCUAGGUAACUUAGUUUUAAUUGUAACGCCCCAACUUUUCUAGAAGGUUGAGGUCAUUACUAUUUAAGUAAAUAUAUAUUUUUUUUAAUAUACAAGAAAAUAAAUUAAAAUUUGAGGAAAAACUUUAAAUAAUAAGUAGUUAAAAUAACUGAUCAAAAUACCAGUUUGGGCCCAAAAAUAAAAGAAAUACUUAAAGUAAUUGAACCAGAGUUCUGAAAUAAACCUAUGAAAAUAUAACUAUUGAAAUAUAAAUGCGGAAGAAAACUGAAUUGUUCCCUAUGGCGAUCUAUGAUCACUUCUUAUCAUUCGCUAUUAUGCCCUUGCCUCUACCCUUACCUGAAAUUAAACAUUUAAAAGAGUGAGUAUAAAUUUAUACUUAGUAAGAGACCCAUAGUGGUCUCACUAUGUGUCUGUUAACCUUUCGUUAGAGUCCUGUAACAUGUACCGCAUACUAUUGCGCUCCCGAACGCAUACUAUCAAGUGGUUCCAUAGGGACACAUCUAGGCUCUCGGUGAACCCGAAGGAAUCAUCCUAUAGGAGAGUCAGGCUGUAAGUGAUCCCGUCGAAUCACAUCUCAAACAAGUCACACAUGCAUACAUAGGUGGUGACCCUGAUGGACCCCCAUACGGUACAACUCUAAUAGGCAAAACUAACAGAACACUAUAGCCUAUACAUGUUUAUCAUAAGAUCAACAUCUUAGCUCAAUUACACAUAACUCAAAAGUAACAUAUUUGAUUAUAGCAUGCCUCAACAAAUAAUACUAUAUCUAAAUCAUAAUAUGGUUUUCAAAGUAACUAUUUAUACGACCAUCUCAAACAACAUAAUUCAACUCAUUCCAGUGCUAACUCAUUUUAGACCCAAAACAAUAAUUAUUUGGGUGUACCAAACCCAACGAGAAUUAAGCAAAAACUCACCAAGGGCUUAAAUAUGUUGCAGACGGCUAAAACUGAAGGUGGCUCGACUAACAACGCUUCAGCUCGAGCCUUGAGACUCACGCUGGCAUACGACUCACACAGGAAUGGCUCGUUGCGCGUGGCUCACGUAUGGCUUACACGAAACGGCUCGGAUCCACAGAGAUGACUCACGAGGCUCGGUGAAGGAAUACGACUCGAACUAACACGACUUGGACAUGUGGCUCGCAAAAAGAAAACUUUCACAGCUUGCAUCCUUCACUGUCAAGCACGAUGAUGUCCGGCGGUGCUGUGCGAGUGGAGGCAACGACGGAUGAUGGUUUCGACGGAAGAGAGGGUUCUGACCGAUGAUGUGUAGGAGGAACGUACAGAGGAAGACAGGGGUCGUUCGACGGUUCGAUGCAACACGCGUCGACACGGCUGGAGAGAAAUGAACGGUUGUGCUUCGUGACCGUGACGCUUCGACUAUGCGACUUUGACAGGGACUCUCUCACCGGAGUGCUGCAUUCGAUGAUGGCUGGAGGAGCGGGCGACAGCUACUUAGGGUUAUAUGGUGAAGAAGAAAGAGUGGGUGGAGAAGAUGAGCACGAAAUACGAGAGACUUAUUUAAUAUAUACAAUAAUAAUAAGUAUUAUUAUUAUUAUUGUCAUUAUCUUUAUUAUCAUUAUUUAAUUUCCCCAACGAACUCAUUUUUUUCUAUUUCAAUUAAUUUUUCUCUUUCUUCAUUACUAACUCAAUCCAUCAUCAAUAACUUCUCUCGUUUCCUUAAUAAUUAUAUUAUCCAUAAUAUAAUUAUUCUUAUUCGUCUAUAACUUUGCUUAUACCCAUAAACAAUAAUUACUCAUAAUACUUUCAACUUUACAAAUUUAAUUUACCAACCAAUCAAUCCAAAAAUGACCACUUUAACAAAAUGAUUUCAAAUUCAGAAUUAACCACAUAUCAUUCCAACGCACUUAACUUCCACAAAUCAAAUAAUUUCACACAUAACACCCAAUUUUUUUUAAUAUAACCCACAUUAAAGUUAACUUACUAGUUUUGGGGUGUUGUAAUCUUUCCUCCUUUGAGAAACUUUCGUCCUUGAAAGAUCUAAUCCUCGAAUAGCUCGGGAUAAUGCGCUCUCAUGUUGUCCUCUUUCUCUCAAGUAGCUUCCUCAACCUCGUGGUUUCGCCACAAAACCUUGACCAAUGUAAUUCCUCUGUUACAAAGCAGUUUAACUUCCUUAGCCAAAAUCUCAACUGGCCGCUCCUCAUAGCUUAAGUUGUCGUUAAUUUGCAACGGUUUGUAGUCGACUAUAUGUGAGGGAUCUGCCACAUACUUCCUCAGCAUGGAGACAUGAAACACAUCAUGAACUGCAAAUAAUUGCGGAGGCAAGGCCAAAUGAUAAGCUACAGGGCCAAUCCUUUCAAGAAUCUCAAACGACCCUACAAAACGUGGACUCAACUUCCCUUUCUUCUCGAAUCUUAGAACACCCUACCUUCAGAAAAAUCAUGUCUCCUACGUCAAACUCAAGAUCCCUACGUCGUUCAUCAGCAUAGUUCCUCUGUCUGCUCUAUGUUGUCAAUAUGCGAGCUCUAAUUUUCUGUGUGGCUUCGUUGGUGGGCUGAACUAGUUCAAGGCCUAACAUUCUCUGCUCACCAACCUCACCCCAACAAACCGGGGAUCUACAACUUUUACCAUACAAAGCUUCAAACGGUGCCAUGCCAAUGGUAGCUAUUAUAGGCGAACUCCAUCAAGUUCAAGUGGGAGUCCCAACUCCCUAAGAACUCCAACACACAAGCUCGCAACAUAUCCUCCAGAAUCUAAUUCAAACGCUCUAUCUGACCAUCAGUCUGAGGAUGAAAAGUUGUACUGAAGUCCAAUCUCGUGCCCAUGGUAGCCUGAAGUCCUUUCCAGAACUUGAAAGUAAAACGGGCAUCUCUAUCAAAAACAAUGGAUACCGAUACCCUAUGCAACCUCACUACUUCAGUUAUAUACAAUUAUAUGGGUUGCCCGGGACUCAAACCCAGAACUUGUGCCCACUUACUGGCAGUAUAAGUGGACUUCCCUGGAAUGAAGUGUGCUGACUUCGUGAGUCUGUCAACAACAACCCAUAUCACUGUAUAACUCUUCAGGGUCCUAGGUAGUCCAGAAAUGAAGUCCAUAGAUACAUUCUUCCACUUCCACUCUGGCACACCCAAGGGUUGUAACAACCCUGCUGGCUUUUGUCUUGGUGCCUUCACCUUCUGGCACACCAGACAUUUACUAACAAAAUCUGCCACCUCUCUCUUCAUAUUUCUCCACUAGUAAACUCGCUUCAAAUCCUAGUACAUCUUUGUACUGCCUGGAUGCAUAGAAAAUGGGGAACUAUGGGCCUCAGUCAACAACUCGGUCUUAACUGUAUUGUCUGCUGGCACACAUAAUCGUUUGUCAAACACGAGUCCCUCAUCAGUGGAUAUAGAGAACUCCUCAACUUGCCCUCCUUCUACUAAGCGGCGCUUAUCCACCAAAUAAGGGUUAGUGAGCUGGGCAAUAAUAAUUCUCUGCCUCAAAGUUGGCUGUACUGACAAUUGAGCUAACUGUGAGGUAACUUCCCCUACUAAAAUUACAAGCUCAGCUCUCUCAAGGUCUCUAUGCAAAUGAACCUGCCUAAUAAUGAGUGCUGCAGAAUGUGAUAUCUUCCUACUAAGAGCAUCAACUACCACAUCCGCCUUACCUGGGUGGUAUAAAAUCUCAUAGUCAUAGUCUUUAACCUACUCGAGCCAUCUUCGCUGCCUCAAAUUCAACUCCUUCUGAGUGAAGAAGUACUUCAAGCUCUUAUGGUCGGUGAAGAUCUGAAUCUUCUCACCGUAUAAAUAGUGCCUCCAAAUCUUUAGUGCAAAAAACUACUGCAGCCAACUCUAAAUCAUGUGUAGGAUAGUUUUGCUCAUGACUUUUCAACUGACGAGAAGCAUAAGUAACCAUCAUAUCUUGUUGCAUCAAAAAGCAACCCAGUCCUUUCUUAGAGGCAUCAUUGUAUAUCACAUAAUUACCAGAUCCAUUAGGCAUGUAAGGACCGAUGCAGUAACGAGUUUUUGCUUGAGAUUCUAGAAACUGCUCUCACACGCUGGACUCCAAACAAAAGGAGUCCCCUUCCUGCUUAGUUGGGUCAAAGGACUAGCUAUAUGAGAGAACCCUUCCACAAACCUCCUGUAAUAACCUACUAAACCUAGAAAACUUCGAACUUCACUAAUUGUAGAAGGUCGAGGCCAAUUGGUAACGACUUCGAUCUUUGCUGGGUCCACAGAAAGUCCCUCACUGGAUACUACAUGACCAAGGAAUGACACCUGCUUCAUCCAGAACUCGCACUUGGAAAACUUGGCAUACAACCUAUUGGCUCGAAGGGUCUCGAACACCUGAUGCAAAUGCUCCUCAUGCUCAGCCUCUGCCUUGGAGUAAACCAAGAUGUCAUCAAUAAAAACUAUCGCAUAAAUGUCUAAGAAAUCCUUAAACACCAUGUUCAUCAAUUCCAUAAAUGCAGCAAGAGCAUUUGUCAAGCCAAAGGACAUUACAAUAAACUCAUAAUGUCCAUAACGAGAACGAAAGGUCGUCUUAGAUAUCAUUGUGCCUAAUCCUCAACUGGUGAUAUCCCAAACGUAAACCGAUCUUAUAGAGAACAUCGUGGCUCUCUGUAGCUGAUCAAAUAGCUCCUCAUUUCUAGGCAAUGGAUAUUUGUUCUUGAUUGUCACCUUAUUAAGCUCUCUAUAGUCAAUGCAAAGACGCAUCGACCCAUCUUUCUUCUUCACAAACAACAUUGGUGCUCUCCAAGGUAACACACUAGGUCGAAUAAAACCCUUGUCCAGCAAUUCCUGCAACUCGACCUUCAGCUCCUUCAGUUCUGCUGGCGUCAUUCUGUAUGAGGCUCUCGAUAUGAGACCAGUACCUGGUUCGAGCUCUAUGGCGAAGUCAACCUCUUGCGGCGGCGGAAGUCCUAGAAGCUCCUCUGGAAAAAUAUCGAGAUAUUUCCCUACCACUAGCUCAGAUGAUAAAGAUACUUUAGGCCCUCUAGUGUCCAUAACACUAGCCAAGAUACUCCAAGUACCCUGGUCGAGCAGCUUACUAACCUUCAUGGCUGAGAUAACUUUAGGUAGAACCACAGUCCCUGCCCCCUUAUACUUAAAACUAGUUACCUCAAGAGGGUUAAAAACUACCUCCUUGCGGGAACAAUCUAUGUUUGCAUGGUUAGCGGAUAGCCAAUCCAUGCCUAAUAUUACAUCAAAAUCUUGCAUGUCCAAUACUAAUAAAGUUACAUCUAAAACAUGCUCUGCUACUUUUAUCUAACAUGCUUUUAUCUUUUCUCUCGACAACAUAAUUUCUCCAGAUGGAGUAGAAACAGACAACAGGUAACUCAGGGGUUCUACUUCUAAAUUCAUAUGCUAUACAAACACAGAGGAUAUAAAAGAAUGAGAGGACCCCGAGUCAAAUAAUACUAAAGCAGGUGUUCCAAGAUUGGAGUGUACCUGUCACCAUUGUGCCCAACUUCUCGGCCUCCUGCCUAUUAGUGACAAAAACUCUCCCUUGAUGGGGGUGGGGAAGUCUGUUCGCAACAACUCCGAAUGACUUCUGAGGGCACUUAUCAGCUAGAUGCCUAAGUUGUCUGCAUUUGUAACAUACUCCACUUCCUGCUAGGUAACGACCCGAGUGAGGUCUUCCAUAAUUAAGAGUCAUGAAUAGUACCUUCAAGGUUUGGCCUGUCUGAGUAGCUUGUUGUCAGUGCCGUUGGAACAAACCAUUGAUCUCAAAUUCCUUUGUGGUGCUACUAUAGGCUGCUGCUCAGUCUUCCGUUUAUGUCCCGAAGUUGGCCCCUUCUCUACAGCCUUGGCCAACAUCGUCCUCUCAUACAAACUCAGGUCUACUGCCAUGCGCAGCGCAUCAGCUUGGGUGGUUGGUCUAAGGACGCGAACGAAACCCUAGAUCUCUGACUUGAGACCUUUGACGAACUUGUUAGCUCUCUCAACCUCGGUUCUCACUAAAUCGGGUGCAAACUGGGAUAACACAUCGAACUUCUGAUCAUACUCUUCCAUGGUCAUGUUACCUUGCUCUAGUUUUAGGAACUCUGGCACUUGGCCUCUCUCACUGUGGCAGAGAAGAAUUUGGCAUAAAAGUUCUCCUUGAGCGGCUCCCAGGUGAUCUUACUUAUAUCUCCACUCAACAUCCUCUCUGUGGACUCCCACCAACCUCUGCUUCUAUCAAUCAGUAAGUACACAGCGUACUGAAUCUUCUGGUCAUUAGGGCACUUCAUAUAACGAAAGAUGGUCUCCACCAAACUCAACCACAUUUGUGCUUUGGUGGGAUCUGCUAAAGAUCCAUCAAAAGUUUAAGGGUUAUACUUCCUCAAGUCCCUCAAGUGCUUGGCUUCGGCUAAAAGCAUGCCUGGUAAGUGUUGGGCUACAAUUGGGGCCUGAACUCCUGUAGCUGGAAUCUGAUCACCUACAGCCGAUGCCUGAACAAGAGCUGUCUAGGUCUGUGAGGCAGGCUGUCGUUGUGCCAUCACUUCAAACAAUAAGUCUCUGUACCUUUGCUCCAUAGCAGCAAGGUCUGCUUGAGUAACAGGUGCAGUAGGGUUGACAGCUUGUACAGUUGGUUGUUCCCCGGGCUGUCCUCCAGGUUGUGCUUCAGGUUGUCCCGCAGAUGGUUACGUCCAGCUCCUCUACCUCCAAUACCACCUCUAUGAACACUUCUACAUGGCAGCAUUUUUUUCCUAAUUUCCACCAUUAAAAGUCUUUUACUACGAGUUCAUUCAUAACAUGCUUACUUAUCUAGUUUAAUUCAUGCAAGGUCAUAUGCACAAUCUUAAAUUAUAUCAUAAAAAUGUACCUGGCGAGUGACGAAAGACCGUAUUAACCAUAGGGAUAAAAUCAAAGACUUACAUCGUAAGUCAGUCUACAAAAUCUAAAACUUUGACUCUGAUACCAACUGUAACGCCCAACUUUUCUAGAAGGUUUAGGUCAUUACUAUUUAAGUAAAUAUAGAUUUUUUUUUUAAUAUACAAGAAAAUAAAUUAAAAUUUGAGGAAAAACUUUAAAUAAUAAAAAUAAAUAAAUAGUUAAAAUAACUAAUCUAAAUACUACUUUCGGCCCAAAAAUAGAGGAAAUAUACUUAAAGUAAUUGAACUGGAGUUCUGAAAUAAAUCUAUGAAAAUAUAACUACUGAAAUAUAAAUGUGAAAGAAAACUGAACGGUUCCCUAUGGCGAUCCACGGUCACUUCUUAUCAUUCGCCAGUUUUCCCUUGCCUCUACCCUUACCUGAAAACUAAACAUUUAAAAGAGUGAGUAUAAAUUUAUACUUAGUAAGAGACCCAUAUUGGUCUCAGUAUGUGUCUGUUAACCUAGAGUCAUGUAACAUGGUACUGCAUACUAUUGCGCUCCGAAUGCAUACUAUCCAAUGGUCCCGUAGGGACACAUUUGGGCUCUUGGUGAACCCGAAGGAAUAACCCUAUAGAAGAGUCGGGUUGUAAGUGAUCCCAUCGAAUCACAUCUCAAACCAGCCACAUAGGCAUACAUAGGUGGUGAACCCGAGGGACCCUCAUAUGGUAUGACUCUAACAGGCAAAACUAACAGAACACUAUAGCCUAUACAUGCUUAUCAUAGCAUCAACAUCUUAGCUCAGUUACACAUAACUCAAAAGUCACAUAUUUGAUCAUAGCAUGCCUCAACAAAGAAUAUUAUAUCUAAAUCAUAAUAUGGUUUACUAAGUAACUAUUUAUACGGCCAUCUCAAAUAGACAUAUUAUACAUCUCUUACUUACACUACUAAACAAUACAUAACAUACAUGCAACUUCCAAGUAGGGUUUAGUACGAAAAAUCUCUUACCUGGAGAUUCACAAAAGAAAUAGUACUCCUCUGAUUGAGAGUCAAAUCCUCACAAUAAACUCAGUCCUAAACAUGAACAAAAUUAAACUUAAUAAUUUUGUCAAUCUAUCACUUUACUGUUUAAUUAGGCAACCAAUUCAAUCAAACUUACCCCAAAGAUUUAAAGUUGAUCUCAAUACAACCUUAAAUUGAAAUUUGCACAAUUCAAUUCCUCAACCACACCUUAACCUUCAAAAAACAUAAUACAACUCAUUCCAGUGCUAACUUAUUUAAGACCCAAAACAAUAAUUAUUUGGGCGUACCAAACCCAACAAGAACUAAGCAAAAACUCACCAAGGGCUUAAAUAUGUUGCAGACGGCUAAAACUGAAGGUGGCUCGGCUAGCAAGGCUUCGGCUCGGGUCUUGAGACUCACGGCUCGCAUACGGCUCACACAGGAUCGACUCAGUUGUGUAUGGCUCGCGUACGACUUACAUGGAACGGCUUGGAUCAACAGAGAUGACUCACGCGGCUCGGUGAAGGGACACGGCUUGAACUGACGCGGCUUGGACGUGUGGCUUGCGAAAAGAAAAUUGUCAUGGCUUGCAUCCUUGACUGUCAAGCGCGAUGAUGUCCGGCGGUGCUGUGCAAGUGGAGGCUACGACCGAUGAUGGUUUCGACAAAAGAGAGGGUUACGAUCGACGACGCGAAGGAGGAGCGCACGGCGGAAGAUAGGGGUCGUUCGACUGUCCGAUGCAACACGAGUCGACACGGCUGGAGAGAAACGAACGGUUGUGCUUCGUGACCGUGAUGCUUCGACUAUGCGACCGUGACGAGGACUCUCUCACUGGAGUGUUGUGCGCGACGAUGGCUGAAGUGGGGCGGCGACUGCUCUAGGGUUGAAUGGUGAAGAAGAAAGAGGGGUGGAGAAGAUGGACAUGAAAAAUGAAAGAGGCUUAUUUAAUAUAUACAAUAAUAAUAAUAAUACAGUAUUAUUAUCAUUACUAUUGUCAUUAUCUUUAUUAUCAUUAUUUAAUUUCCCCAACGAACUCAUUUUUUUCUAUUUCAAAUAAUUUUUCUCUUUCUUCAUUACCGACUCAAUAUAUCAUCAAUAACUUCUCUCUUUUCCAUAAUAAUUAUAUUAUGAAUAAUUAUAUUAUCCCAUAAUAUUAUUCUUAUUCCUCUAUAACUUUGCUUAUACUGAUAAACAAUAAUUACUCAUAAUACUUCAAACUUUACAAAUUUAAUUUACCAACCAAUCAAUCCAAAAAUCACCACUUUAACAAUAGGAUUUCAAAUUUCAGAAUUAACCACAUAUCACUCCAACGUACUUAACUUCCACAAAUCAAAUAAUUUCACACAUAACACCUAAAAAAUUUCAAUAUAACACACAUUAAAGUUAACUUACUAGUUUUGGGGUGUUAUAUUGAAAUCAAUCAUUUCCUUCAUCCACCUUCAUCUACGUUUGUGCCCAGCUCUCACGACCACCAUCAAAAUAUUUUUCUCUCCAGUGAAUCGUGUUUGUGAGAUAGCCAGAUUCAGCAUUCACCACCCACAAAUCUCCAACUCUGAACCCAUUCGGUUAGAUACCCACCUAAAAUCGGACUGAUUCUGAUUCAGCAGUCACAACCCACACGUUUCAGCAGUCACCGGUGAACCUAUUUGAUGAGAUAUCUGGUGAACCCAUUAGUUUGUAGCUUUAAAAAAGAUAAACUCUUAUACUUUUGUGUACGUUACUCUGAACGCUUUUGUUUACUGUGAUGUUCUAUGCUAAUUUGUAUUGUUUUCUAACAUAUCUUCCAAUUGCUAGGAAGAAGUUGCUUAAGUGAUUCUUAAAGAAGGGUAAGGAGAGGUAAUGAUUCAUACUCCUUGAAAAUUAAAUCCGUAUUUUUAUUUAUUUGUAUUAUCUUUAAGAUUUUGAAAAGUUUUUUUUACGCUUGUGUAUCCAAAGAAUGAAUGGAUGCUUUCGAUUUGUAAUUAUUGAAUUGGUUUGUGCUUCAAUAUUACAAAAUCUUGGAGCAUGCAUGCAUGUAUAUUUUAAUUGAUUGUGCGAUGAUAAUAUACUCAUGCACACGAGUGCACAUGCACUUUUUGUAUUUAAUUGAAGUUUCUCUUCUUUUUUUUUAAGUUGCUCAUCGGUCUUUUGUAGAUAUAUUUGGUACUUGGUAUAUGUUGUCAGUAUUUAAGCGUGUCGGAGGGCUUUUUAACACACCUCAAAUUGUUAGUAAAAGAAAAUCAAACUAAUUACUUCCAUUCAUUUGGAAUUAUAAUGUCAUAAUGAUGGUUAGAAGUUUGUGUUUGGUCUUCGUCGAUGGUUUUAAUUUGAGAUUUGCUUGUUAGUUGAUUGAGUGAUACGAUUACGAGUUUUGUAGUUGUUUGAGUGUAUAUAGAACUUUUUGGUUGUUUGGGUUUAUAUAGAACUUGUUAGUACGUUUUUGGAAUGUGGAUAAGAAUCUAAUUGUUUGGUUGUUGGGUGUAUAUAGAAAUUUACAUUAAUUAUAUUUAGUCUUGAACUUUUUAGGUAUUAUUGUCGAUUAUAGUUGAGUUCACAAGUGUAAGAUUACUUAAAUAUUCCUUAUUGUUUUUUUGACAUUUUUUUGUAGAUUAAAUUGCAUCCUAUAUAUAUGGAUAAGCCAUGGAUGAAAAAUAAUAGAAUGUUAACUGAUUAUGUUGUUGGUUGAGAUGUUUAUUAAAAAUGGGUUGAAACAUUCGAAGACAUCGAACAUCAUGACUUGUUCUCGUUUAAAGUGCGUAAAUGCAAAGACUUUACAUGUGAAUACAAUUAGAGAUCACUUAUUAUUUUUUAACGGCAUCGAUAAGAGUUAUCAAGUAUGAAUUUUCAUGGUGAAUCACUACCAAUGAAGAGAAACAAUGAAAGUGUCUUUAGUAGUGCAAGAGAAGAAAUUAACGUGGAUGAUGUUGAUGACAUAAUUGGGAUGUUUGAUGUUGGUGACAUAAUUGGGAUGUUUGAGGGUGCACACAAUUAUUUUAAUGACCAAGUUAGAAAAUUUUGAGAAACUACUAGAUGAUGCCAAGAAACCAUUAUAUCCUAAUUGUAAAAUUUUUACCAAAAUAUCUACAUUGAUAAAAUUAUAUAAUUUGAAAGUUAAAUUUGGAUGGAGUGAAAAGAGUAUCACGGAGUUGUUAAAAUUAAUUGGUGACAUCUUACCUACUCCUAAUGAAAUCCCUACUUCUACUUAUGAAGCAAAAAGAUUUUGUGUACUCUUGGAAUGAAGUACGAGAAGAUACAUAAAUGUAGAAAUGAUUGUUCCUUGUUUAGGAAAGAACUCUCUUAUGCAAAUGUACGCCCCUUUCGUGAUGUUAUUAUUUUUAGAUUUUGAGUUUUCACUUAUAGUCAUCGGAUAUAGUGUGUUUAUUUGAUAUGUGAAUAUAUAUAUGUGUGUGUGUGUGUGUGUGUGUUGGAUGAUGUGUAUUUGUUGUAGUACUUUAUGGAAGUGUGAAAAAGUGUGUGGUAUAUUAUGUGUUGGAUCUUAUUCAUUGCGGUGAAAUAGGAAUCCUAUUGGUUUGUCAUAGAGGACAACAUGCAUUUAUUUGAUAUGUGAAUAUAUAUAGGUGUUGGAUUAUAUGUAUUUGUUUAAUUCUAUAUGGAAGAAGUGUGGAAAAGUGUAUUUGAUGUGUAUAAGGUUUGCCAUGGAGUAGUAGCUCUAGCAUUCUAUAGCUAGCAAGCGUGCCAACAAUUUUUUUACAUUUUUCACAAUAUACGAUGAUGAACAUUUCCUCUCAUAAUUCGAGACAAAUAAUAUCGGUUUUGAUGUCAUAAAAAUGGACAAUAAUGCAACAAUAUAAUAAAAAUAAAUUUAAAAAUGGGCCAAAAACAAGGUUUUGAUGUCGUUUUAAACAUGACAUUAAAGGUGUCUUUAAUGUCAGUUUAGAAAUGACAUCAAAGGCCUCUUUAAUGUCGGUUUAAAAUCAAAAUCAAAGGCCAAGGACAUUCAAGACCUUCAAUAAAACCAUCAAAGAUAUUGAUUUUAAAUUGACAUUAAAGGCCUUUGAUGUCGGUUUUAAACCGACAUUAAAGAGGCCUUUAAUGUCGUUUCUAAACCAACAUUAAAGUCAAAUCGACAUUAAAGGCCUUUUAUAAUGCUUGCAAAGACGUCAGUUGACAACUGACAUUAAAGGCAAAAUUUCUUCUAGGGAUUUGAGAAUUUUUGGAUGUGUCAUAUAUGUUCCAAUUGCUCUAUUACAACGUACUAAGAUGGAUCCUCAAAGAAGGCUAGAAAUAUAUGUUGGAUUCGAUCUCCAUAAAUUAUUAAAUAUCUUGAAAUCUUGAACCUCUUACGGGUCUACAUGAUUUAUUGAUUAUCAUUUUAAUUAGACAAAUUUUCAACGUUAUAAGGAGAAAUUAAAAAAUUGGAAAAAGAAAUUACAUGAAAUGUAUCAUUAUUGUCUCAUUUGGAUCCUCGUACAGAUCAAUGUGAACUUGAAGUUCAUAAAAUAAUUCAUUUGCAAAAUAUAUAUAGCAAAUCAGUUACUAGAUGCAUUUGUAGAUGCAAAGAAAGUAACUAAAACACAUAUGAGAGUUGCAAAUGUCUCAUAAAAAAUUGAUAUCCCAACAUAACAACUUGUCAUUAAAGAUAAAAAUCCUUGAAAUAGAAAUUGAGUCAAUAACUCGAUUAAGGAUAUGGAUGUUCCAGAAGAAAUCCUAUGACACAAAAUAUCGAAGAAGAUAAAACAACUAAGACAGGAAAGAGAUGGAAUAUAAUUAAUGCAGUUGUUGAUAAUAGUUUGCACUUGAUACUAUAUUAAAAAAUGAAGAUCCAUAACCAAAAUUCGUUGAAGAAUGUCGACAGAGAAAAGAUUGGUCUUUGUGGAAAGAAUCAAUUGAGGCAAAAUUAAAUUCACUUUCAAAAUGUCAAGUUUUUGAAUCAGUAGUCCAAACAGCAAAAGGUGUCAAACCUGUGGAAUAUAAAUGGAUAUUUGUGAGAAAAAGAAAUGAAGAUAAUGAGAUUACAAGAGAUGAAGGAAGAUUAGUUGCACAAGGUUUUUCACAAAGACCUGGUAUUGACCAUGAGGAGACAUAUUCUCUGAUGGUGGAUGAAAUCACAUUAAGAUUUUUUAUUGGCUUGGUUGUGUAUAAAAAUUUGGACAUGCAUCUUAUGGAUGUAGUCAUAACAUAUUUAUAUGGAUCUCUUGAUAAUGAUAUUUAAAUAAAAGUUCUAGAAGGAUUUAAGAUACUUGAAAUAUAUAAAUCAAGUUUUCGAGAACUAUAUUCAAUAAAGUUACAGAGAUCAUUAUAUGGAUUAAAACAAUCAAUACUAAUGUGGUAUAUAAUCAUCUGAGUGAAUAUUUGUUGAAAGAAGGAUAUCAAAAUAUUCAAAUAUGUCCAUGCAUUUUUAUAAAUAAAUCAUAGCCAAGAUUUGCUAUUAUAACUCUAUAUGUUGAUGAUUUAAAUAUAGUCUGAACUCUUGAAGAGCUUUCAAAGACAAUAAAAUAUCUUAAGAAAGAAUUCAAGAUGAAAGACCUCGGAAAUACAAAUUUUUGCCUCAGUUUGCAAUUUGAGCAUUUGGCAUAUGAGAUAUUUGUUUAUCAAUCAACUUAUAUUGGAAAUUUUUUUAAAAGACUUUAUAUGGAUAAAGCACAUCCAUUGAACAUUCCAAUGCAAGUUCGUUUACUAGAUGUAAAGCAAUAUAUAUUUCAACCCCGAGUUGAUAAUGAAGAACUUCUUGACCUAUAAGUACCAUAUCUUAGUGCAAUUGUUACACUUAUGUAUCUUGUUAAUAAUACAAGACCAGAUAUUGUAUUUUUAGUAAAUUGAUAACUACAUCUUCCUUUGUGGACUUAGAAGCACUGUGGUUUCUUUAAGAAGUUUGAAUAUAGUCUUUGUUAUUGUGUAGAAUUGUAAGCUGCUAGUUUUCUUGUUAAGGCUCAUUCAAUUUCCCAUUUUAAUCAUUUCACUUAAAAUUGUUGACCCACUUGCAUCUUGGAGUUAUUUUAUUUCAAAUUCUUGAUAAGCAAAUCAAAAUUUGGGACGUAUCUACUGGACAAUGUAAUAUAACUGUGCAACAUCAUACAACAAGGUAAGAAUCUCAAUUGUAUUGCUUUGAUCGUGCGUGUUCGAGUUCAUUCAUUCAAACUUGCACCAACAAUGAUCUGUUCAUGAGCAUGAAUGUAAGCAAGCUUUGAGACAUCUCACAUUCACCUUUUGCUGAAUUUUAUACAUAAAAAGUGAAAAGCCUAAAUUUGAGCAUUUUCAUAUUAAUUGGUUUGAUCUUUUUUUUUUUUUUAGGAUGAAAUCUAUUAUCAUUAAUCCUUCUAGGAAAGAGUAUGGUUUGAUGGUGAAUUACUACACAAGGAGAGGUGAUAUGAACGGUGCACGUGAAAUCUUUGAAAAUAUGCGAGCUAGGGAAAUAGAACCAUGGUCUCAUGUCUACACAAAGUAAUAACUACUCCUAUUUUCUCCCUUUCUUUCGUCAUAUGUUAAUUUGAUCUCAACGUUAGCUUAAUAUUUUUGCUUCAUUUAUUGACAUAAAGGUCACCAUUCUAGUUUUGAAUAUGGUUAAAGUUUGAUUGAUUUGUAUAGAAGGCCAAUUAAGUAUUUUAUGCUUGAAAUAUAUAUUUGAUGGUAGAUAUGUCGUUGCAAAAGUAUAUUUACUAUAUUAAUUCAAUCUAAAUAUUUUUCAAGUGUGUCGUUUUGCGAUAAUAGUAAGCUUUAAUGAUGUGCAACAUUAUUCAUACCAUCUUUUGUUAGAAAAUGAAAGAAGAGAAGGAGGCAUAGAAAUGAGCUUGGUAACUUACACCAUUCUUGUUGGUGGAUUUGCCAAAAUGAAAAAUGCAGAGUAAGUAAUUAUUAUUAAAUGUGUGCAUGCGUAGGUUCAUAAAAUUUUCGUUAUAUAUAUACAUAUAUUUCUUUUGCAUAUAUAACGUUAUAAAAUAUGGCCACGGGCGUGUUGCACUCAUAGAAGUACAUAAUCAUUGUGAUGCUAUUGUGGAUGGAGCAAAUGUUGGCCUCUGUCAACAUAAUUUUGUAGAUUAUGGAUUUAAUCUUCCUCAUGUUGUAAAGUAUAUAUUUUGGUCUUACAUAGCCAGCCAAGCUAAGCGAUUAUGAAGAUUUGUUUAGCAUUUUAUGAGAAUGGUGAUGCAUUAAAGAUUCGAUUUUAUUGAAAUCUUGUUCCUUUUAAUAAAGAUGUAGCACUUCACUUCACAUGCUAUCUGUCAAUGCUCAUCAUAUAUUAAUUAUUGAAAUCUUGUUCCUUUUAAUAAAGAUGUAGCACUUCAUUUCACAUGCUAUCUGUCAAUGCUCAUCAUAUAUUAAUUUCUAACUCGCACAUCCUAUUACUUGUAAAUUGAUGCAUAUGAUGCUUUUUAUGCUAGGAUCAAAUUUAUUUUGUAGAUAUUUAUGUUUUUUUUUUUUUUUGGUAUAGCUAUUUGGAGUGUUAUGUGAAGCAAAAUAUCUUUAGAAUGUGAUGCGUUUUGGUUUUCGAUUGAGAUUAGUCUUGGUAAUUAAUUGUUUUCAAUUGUGUUUUAUUUUAUCUUUUAGUUAAUUUUAGUAGUAAUGUUUUUGUUUUCUUUAGUUUAGUUUGAGUAUUAGUCUGUUUUGAUAUAUUUGUAGGUUGCAUCUAUUUUUCCAUAUAUUUAUCUUUGAUCAAUACCUAGCUAGUGGAGUAUGGACUUCCUUAUAUUCCAUGUUCUUUUACUAUUUGGGAUUUUCACCUUCGAUAUAUGAAAUUCAUUAACUAUUUUCAUUUGAAAGGAAAAACGAUCCAAUAGGAGUUUGUAAGAUUAUUUAUCAUCUCCAUUAUUCAACUUUCUCUAUAAAAACAAUGUUGUUAUUGAUGGGUAAAUUUAUACAAUUAAGAGUAAGAAGCCUGUAGACUAACAUUGCUAAAUUGAACAUUUAAAAUUUGCUUUGAAGUCAGAGUCGAGGAUAGUAUAAUUAUUCUUUAGUUGUAUUCCUCUUUUUGUUGUUGAUCUUUGAAGAACCAAAUCAGGUUAACGAGUUGUUUGAUAAAAGCUAAUUUUCUUCUUUAUUUUCUGCAGUACUUUUGGGUUGUCAUUUCAAUCGUCUUCUUUGUUGUUGCUACAUUAUUUACUUUACGAAAACUUUGUAGUAAUUUUUAAUUUUCCACAUUUAGAUUGCAGUCUGUUUAGUUUGAUUUUAAAUAAUAUGUACUAAUUUUGCAGAUUCUAGAUUUAAUCUUCCUCAGGUUGUAAAGUAUAUUUUGGUCUUAGAUAGCCAGCCACUAAGCUAAGCUAAGUGUAGAUGGAAGCGAUUUGAAAGUUGAAGAUUGUGAAGGCGUUUAAGAUUUCUUAUUUAAGUCUUGUAUUAGGAUCUAGUUUCAUGUAUUAUUGUAGAAUGUAUAUACAAACGCAAUAUUAAGAUUUCAUUUUCUGUAUACAAAUGUAAAAGAAAAAUAUUCUAGUUUCUAAAAUAAUAUUAAUUUUAUUGAUUUGUUGGAGUGAGCAAAAAAUAUUUAUUUACACGUAUCUAAUGUCAGUUUAUAAAAAUAGACAACAAUGCAACAAUUAAUAAAAAUAAAUUUUAUAAAAAUAGAUCCAAAAACAAGAUUUUAAUGUCAGUUUAAAAACGACAUAAAAGGCAAACCGACACGAAAGGUCAACAAUAACACCAUAAAAAUUGUCAGUUUAAAACUGACAUCAAUGGUCAUUAAUGUCGCUUUAAACCGACAUUAAUGAUGUCUUUGAUGUCGUUUUUAAAUCGAUAUCAAAGUAAAAACGACAUUAAAGGCCUUUAAUAAGGCUAGCAUAGAUGUCGUUCCGAACGACACCAAAGGUCAUUAAUGUCGUUUAAAAACCGACAUUAAAUGGUAAAUUUCUUCUAGUGUCAGAUUCCUCUGAAAGCUGAUAAUUCUCCCUUUCGUCGACUCAAACUCAGACCUCCUUUACUCAAAUUUAUCCGGUAGCCCUACUCUAGAAACUAGAGUCAAUUUGUGAACUAUUGAGAGUAAUUUCAACCAAAACGCACAAGUAUGAUAGGAGAAAUGUCAUUCUAAAGUUUCCUAUUUAUAUUGAGUCUUACAUGAGCCUUUAUUGACACGACCUACUUGCCGAAAUUUAACUUAAGUAUGUAGAGAACACUUGUAAAGUACCCAUGGACUCCACCUCUUCAUUAUCUUGUCUAACCAAAACACGUAAGUGUGGAACAUCAAGAUAAACACCUAACUAACUUCAAACAUGGCCGCAAGCACUCCUUCCUCGCGUGCAAGUCUACUCGCCCAACAUCAUGUUGUCUAGCUUUCUCGCCUAGCAUCUUAACGCUUAAUAACCUCUAAAUGACAAGCUUUCCUCGCCCUAAAAAUCUUUCUCGCAUAGCCUUGCUAACCUCUUUUGCUCUCAAUCGCCUAGGGACACUCUUCACCACCCAAUAACCUCUACGGACAAGCCUUGUCGCCUAGCCAAACACACACUCAAGCUUAGCUACCUACCUUGUCCAAACGCCUAAAUAACCACUUUAGAGGUUAUAUUUCCUUCUUUUGGCUGCCUACACAUCACCCUAUAACCUCUAAACGCUUUGUCCUUAAACCUUUGACACUUAGUCAAUUAUUUUUACGGUUAAAUUUGGGUCUUAAAUCAUGUAUUAAAAUAAACCAAAUUUUAAACUACUCAUAAUUUUAAUUUUUUAAGUGAAUACUAUUUUUUAAUAAAAUUUUAGUUUUUGUUUAAUGAUAAAUAAAACUUUAGAGAUCACCGAUUCUUUUUAUAGUUGUAUCCACAAAAUAGGAGAGAUUUCAUUUUUUUUAAAAAAAAAAUCAACUUUAAACGUGUAUAUGCACAAAAAUAUGGAAGAUUUUUUCUUCCUUCUUUUAGGGUGAAUUUUAGAUUUUAAGGAUAAAAUCUAUUUUUUAAAAAAGAAAUUUUACUUUGAAAAGUAGGUGAGAUUUUAAAUUUUUUUUAAAGGUGAAAUUAGGUAAAAUAUCCCUAUAAUCAUUCACUAAAAGGGCAGAUGAUGUUUCUCCCACAGCCCCUUUAUAAAUAUAUACACACACAUAUAGAAAAUGGAGAAUUUUCAAAAAGAGUAAACAAUUUACCCUCAAUAAAAUAUUUACAUUUUCAUACAAAAUUUUUGUAUUUCAUAGAAAAGAAACUGUAAUUGAUUUUAUUUUUGUCUUUUAAUAGUUUGUUUUUAUGAAGUUUAAAUAAUUUGUUUUUUUUUAUUGUUUUUAUUGUUUUUUAUUGUAAUUGACACGAUAUUACAAUGAUUUUAUCAAUAGAAAAAAAAAAACUAUUCAAUUGGUCACUACAUAGAAGACAAAGAAAUAGAAAGUGAAUUCGAACUUCAUUAUGAUUGGAGAUAUUUUCGAAUGAUUCAAUUUGAAAUCAAAAAAGACAUAUUGACAUAUUACUUGAAAGUGUGUCACAAAUUUAAGGCUUCACAAUUUACCAAAUCUUCAUCAUAUUUACCAUUUUUACGAAUUGGAUGAAAGAAAAGUUAGAAAGGGUGUACAUUAUAUCAUAACAACUACAUGAAAGAGUGGAGGACUGUAAACGGAUUGAGUUGGGUUGGAGGACAUUCCUAACCCAACCCAUAUUUUUAGGUUGGUUGGAUUGACAAUAUGAAUAACCCAAAUAGUAUUUUUAACCAACCCAAUCAAACCCUUAAAUUAUGGAUUAAGUUGGGUUGGGUUGUCGAGUUGAGAAGAAGAUGGCGAACGUUGGAGAUUGUGAACACUAGAGAUGAGAGAUCCAAACGAGAGGGAGAGAGUGAGUCAGAGAGAUAAGGAGAGUGAUGUGAAGUGAGCUACUUCUUUUCCAUUUACUAAACUAAUAAUAUAAAUAUAUAUAUAUGUGUGUGUGUGUGUGUGUACGUAUGUAUAUAAGACCUAGAUCCAAAAGGUAAGUCCUAUUGAAAAAGAGCAUUGUUGAAAAAAGGGAGUUCAUUUGAGUAUAAGUGUUAUCGAGUUAGAGUAAGUUGACCACCAUUAAUCGCUUCCGACCAACCUCCGAUGACUACUUUUUGACAAUUGUAGUUGAUCAAACUUUGAAUGCUUGUUUUAUGGCAAUAGUCACAAGAAAAUAUUGACCACCAUUAACAGUCGUCGGCGAACCUGUGGUUACUGCUUUUCUGGCUACUAUUUUUUAGCAACCUUCGACGGUCAACUUUCAUCUACUGUUUUUUUGACAACCAUUGUUGAUCGAACCCGACAAUCUUUUUCUAACAACCAUCGUCGAUCAACUUCUGAUGAACUUUUUUAUGGCAACUAUUUUUUUUUUAUCACUGGCAGUAACUUCCUUGUACCAUUUUUUCCCGUAAUCGCUGCUGGUCAACCUCUGAAAUCGUCGACCAUUUUUCAGCGACUAUUGCUAGACAACUUUUGUUUAUUGUUGAUCGACUAGCAUUGUCGGCCAGCUUUCGUCGACCAUUUUCGAUGACCCAUUACUGGUUAACUUUCCUCAACCAUUGUCGGUAAACUUUUGUCAACUGUUUUUUAUGACUGUUGCUGGCAAGUAUCAAUGUCCGUUGUUGGCCAACUAUUGAGGACCGCUUUUUUUUUUCAAUUAACAUAAAAAUAGAAAAGGACAACAUUGUCAUCUACCUAAUUAUAGAAGCUACUUCUAAAGGAAAGUCAAAAAUGGAAGAAAAAAUUUUCUUCUCAUUCAAGCUUUUAUAUAUACUAUAGAUAGAAAUCUAAAAGAGAGUAUUGCAAAUAUAGUUAUAUAUUGUAAAUGUACAUCUAUCCAUAACCUACAUAGGUUAUCAAUUGUCAUAUAACUCUCAUUCAAUUCCAUGUUGUAACAUUCAUCCUACUAAGAUUCAUAUUGUAAUUUGUACCAUGACAUGACAUGUCUUAUAAAUAGAGGUAUGUGAUGUCUUUCUUAGAUAUACCACAAUUGAGUUCAAUUGCUUUCCAUGUUUUCUCCCUCUCUAUUAUCUCUUUUGUGUUGUUUCAUUGUUACGACGUAUUUUCUUUAUUCUUAUUUUAUAGUAUUAAAAUCCAUAACAAACAUAAUGGGUGUUUUUUUCUUUGAAUUAUCAUUUAUGUAAAAUAAAUUAAUAAGGAUAAUUUAAGUUUGUCUUUAAAGUAUAAAACAACGUCAGAUAAAUUUAAGAUAAUUUGUUGGUUUUUUUCCCCAAAAGUAGAACAAAAUGCAAAAUUAUUUACACCGUAUAGAACAAUUUUGAAAAAAGAAAGAGCCCACAAGUCCAUAACGUAAAAUAAAAAAAUACUCGGAAUUAAUUGACCACAAACAUACAAAAAAAAAGCUUCUAAUUUAAACGUUGUAUAAUAUAGUCCAAAAUAUCGUUUAGAUAUUGGUACACAAUCGUUUAGAUGUUGGUAAGUGAUCCGUUUGAAUCUAUUACUUAUCUAUUUAGGAUAGAUAGUGAUAGUGAUCUAUAUGAGAUAGAUGACUGAUUGUUUAGAUUUUGGAACACAGUCAUUUAGUAAAAAAGAAGAAGAAAAAUAAAGAAGAUGAAAGAUGACGUACAAGGAAGAAAUUAUGGAACAAGAGAUGAAGAAAUCGCAAACAAGAAGAAGUGAGAAUAUGAGGAAGAUAUGUCGGAAUUCAAUACUCGUCCAAAAAAAUUCAAAACCAACCACGAAAUCAUGGAACUUGUGAAAAAAUAACAAUGGCAUGAACUUUUAUUUUAUUUUUAUAUGGACGAAGUAGUCUACUAAUAUUCUCCUUAAUUCGCUUUGGACUGUGCUUUUCUUUCCUUUUGUGUUUUGAAAUACUAAACUUUUCAUAUUUUUUUUAAAUGGAAAGAUAAGCUGAUUAUUAUUAAAACAAAAUUGUUAAACUUUUUGAGAAUACGAAAUGAGAAAUUCUUUUACAUUCCAACUCUUUAGAUUCCUUUAAAGAAUGUGUUUACUUCUUUAUUUUAUAUUUCAUUAACGUUAAUUAUUUACAAUUAAUUGAAAAAAUUAUGAGACAAAAUUACACAUGUUUUACUUUUCUCAACAAUAGAAACAUAAACUUGUAAACAUGAAAAACUGUAAUGACUGUUCUUUACUACGAAAUAUAUUGUCAAACAAUAACCAAGAUGAGAGAUAAUAACAAAACAACAAGAAGUAAACGAAAAAACACACGAGAAUUGUGUCCGGGAAAGUUAAUCCACGGAAAUCAAUAAGUCAAGCAAUUAUAAAGUUGUACUUAUAUAAACACUCUUCCGCUCACAAAGACAAUCGUAGAACUAAUUCACUGGACACUUGGGAAACAUUCUCUUUAAUACUUAGGCUCCCCUUAAGUAUGCUACUAUUAGUGAAUAACUACUCAAACUCCCCUAAAUAAUAGAAAUUCUUGAUUAAUCAUUCCUCUUUACUUGUGAACUCCCUUCACGAAUAAACUUAGACUCCCCCUAAGUUGAUGAGAUCUCCCUUCUCGAUAGAGCCAACUUUAGGAUCUCCUAAAGCAAUGUCAUUAGAUUGGUUUCAAAUUAAUCUUUAGCCAAGCAUUCACACGAACAACAGCCACACGCACAUAGGAAUGAAUCCUUUGAAUAUCGACUCUUCUUAGCCCAAAUGGUAAAGAGAAAUCAAGAUAUAUGCAGCAACCCUAGCACAAAGACUUCCUUAAGCUUAAAAAGGACAACAUAAACAAAGAGAAAAGCUUAGAAAAAAUGGACAUAAUGGGUGUCCAUGAGGGGUCAUUAUAUCAACCUGUCUAAUGUAUGUCCCUAAAAUUUUGAAUACCAAUAACUUGAGAUGUUAAAGAAAAUUGAAUAUGGUCUUUUAGAGCAAAGAGUACAUAAAGAACACAAAUAGAGAAGAAAUAAUAAAGAUGAAAGAAAUGAUGCAACUUCAAGUGUUGGGAAGAAAAUGAUGAAUAAAAUGGUAAUUUUAAUAGUAGAACGUGAGUUACAAAGUUUUGUUUUUGAAUUCUACCCCUUCUUACAUUCAAUUAUAUAUAUUAUAUGCAUAAUAGGGUUGGUGAACCAGAUCAGUAUUUUUUUUUCCUAAUUUAAUCCAACCCAACCGUGAUGAUUAUUCUAGUUUAUUUUACUUAAGUGUUUAGAGUACUGCUUUUAUUGAAAUAAUGUUUACAAAUAAGGGCCAUAAUUUUAGUCCAAAACGACCCGUAGUAUCUCUAUUCUACCCUUACCCCGAACAUCCCCUCCCUCUUGCCUCCAAAACAUCCUCUUCGUAUCUUUUUUAUAAUUUACCGAUUAUGUGGCUUUCAGUUUUCACAAUUUUUUGGUAACUUUUUUCCCCAAAGAAUAUUGCUCUCUUCUUCGCGGUUCCGUCGCAACUAAUUUUCACCUCCCCAACUUCUGCCUGACUUUCUUCCGUAGGGCUUGGUAUCCGAUUCUUGUUUACAAUCUGUUCCCAUUCUUCCUUUGCUAUCUUCGCUGCUAACAUUGUUGAAAUUGUUCGGUAUUGCCAUUUCCCGAGUUUGAAUAGCUUCUUGUAGGGAUUGGCUCUCAACCGAAGGCCAUUCAGGUACCUUCUUCGUCCCUCUCAAUUACCCUUUUUGUAUUUGCAUUUUAGGGAGUACUUCGUAUGGAUAUGUCACUAUGAUCAAUCCUAUUCCUGUUUCAAGAACGGGUGUUUGUUCUAGUCUUAAGGAAAGUGAAGUAUUCUCUUUCAUUGUAGGUCGGAUUUUUAGUCAUUUUUUAUUUUGUUAUUCCACUCAUUGAAUUUAGUUGUUAAGUAGCAGGACUGGAACUACAAUAGAGUAAUGGCGUCUUCAGAUGAUGAGGCUGAGACCUUACCAGUACCACCUGUCUCAAAUUAUUCUCUUUCAUUGUAGGUCGGAUUUUUAGUCAUUUUUUAUUUUGUUAUUCCACUCAUUGAAUUUAGUUUUAAGUAGCAGGACUGGAACUACAAUAGAGUAAUGGCGUCUUCAGAUGAUGAGGCUGAGACCUUACCAGUACCACCUGUCUCAAAUUAUCACUUUGUGGAUCACAAGGAAGAACCUAUUUCAUUCUCUAUUUUGCCGAUUAAAUGGAUGAAGGGGAGAGAUUGGAGGGCAGUCAAGAACCUGUUUUCCUCCAUGGUACAGUUGAUAAUGGACUUCAAAAGGUUUAUAAACAGGUUACCGCAUGGAGAUUUAAUAUUUCUGGUUCAAAGCCAGAGAUAUCGGUGCUUUCCAAAGAGAAUGUGUGGAUUACACUUCAGAAGCUAGAAAGAGCUUUGAGGAUACCAUUUAGAACCAUCUUGAUCACAGUGCACUGCCUUCAUGCUUUGAAGAGGAAUCCAGAUACAUCUAGCAAAUCUUUGUGGGAUCUAUUAGCUAAAACCUUUAGGUAACAUGAAUUCAUUUCAUCUUUUACUUUCAUGCUUUUGUAUUUGUUGUUUUUAAGCCAUUCAUUUUUGCAGCUUGUAUGAAGUGAGGCCUUCCCAGAAUGAUUUGGUGGAUCACAUGUCAUUAAUCGGAGAAGCAGUUAAAAGGGAUGAUAUAUUGGCCAAGUCCCAGGUUCUCUUUCAUUCUUGUGCAGACAAUGAAAAGAUUAUGUUCAUUUGUUUUGUUGAAUAAAUUUUUUAUAUGGAUGUGAAGAAGAAACAAAAGGGCAGGGGGAGGGAGAAGGAGUUCGUGAUACAUUCCUAAGUCUCAAAGCCACGCCCACAGGCAAUAGAGUUUCAAUUAGUGCAAGAUAAAUAAAAUUUUUGACUCAACCAUUCCACAGUUCUAGGUUAUGUUGACUUCCAUCCUCAAAAUAUUUUUUAUACCCUCUUUUCAGAAAUUUCCUACAGGACUUCUGGAACCAUAUUUAUCCCCGUAGGCUUUUCAUUUUCUAUAAAGAUAUUCCCAUACUGUAAUCUAGAAUUCAGAAACGUAUGUCUUAUUCCUCUUGAGUCAAAGCAAUGUUACAUAUUUAUAAAGAGAAUAAACUAAACCCUAGAGACUAUGUAAAAUUACAAUAAAACAUAUUAUAUAUAUAUAAUCAUAACAACUCCCCUCAAGCUGGAGCAAAUAUGUCGAUCAUGCCCAGCUUGUUGCACAGAUAGCUUAUUCUUGUUCCAUUUAAAGCUUUAGUUAGAAUAUCUCCAAUUGUUCUCCGGUCUUCACAUAUCCUGUGGACACCAACCCAUCUUGAUUUUCUCACGAAUGAAGUGACAAUCACCUCAAUAUGUUUAGUUCUUUCAUGAAAUACUGGAUUAAUGCAAUAUGAAGUGCAGCUUGAUUAUCACACCAUAAUUUAGCUGGCACGGUAAUACUAAAGCCUAUCUCAGAUUAAUAAGUUUGGUAAUCCAUACUAUUUCACACACAGAUUGUGCCAUAGCUCUAUAUUCUGACUCAGCACCGACGAGAAACAACAUUUUGUUUCUUACUCUUCCAUGAAACUAAUUUUCCACCUACAAAAACACAAUAUCCAGAAGUCGAUCUCCUAUCCUCACGAGACCCCGCCCAAUCAGCAUCAGAAAAACAUUCAACUCUCGUAUGUCCAUGAUCUUUGUAUAGGAUCCCACGUUCCAGGAGCAGCUUUUAGAUAACACAAAAUCUGCUCUACUGCAAACCAAUGAUCCACUGUAGGGAAGACAUGAAUUGACUUACAACACUUACAGAAUAUGCAAUGUCUGGUCGAGUCACUGUUAAGUAGUUCAACUUUCAACUAAUCUCCUAUAUCUCUCAGGAUCUUUACAUAAUUCUCCUUCUUUAACAAGUUGCUGAUUUGGCAUCAUUGGAGUGCCACUUGUUUGGCGCCUAAUUUUCUGUUUCAGACAACAAUCAAGUACAUAUUUUCGUUGAGACAAAUAAUACCUUUCUUGCUUCUCAUCACUUCAAUGCCAAAAAAUAUUUCAAUUGGCCCAAAUCUUUUGUAUAAAACUGACCCUGAAGGAAAGUUUUGAGAGACGAAAUACCAAUGCAUCAUUUCCAGUAUAACAAUAUCAUCAACAUAUACAACUAGUAGAACUAUACCUUCUCAGAUCGGCGAUAGAAAACUGAAUGAUCAGAUGUACUCUUCUUCAUACCAAAGCAUACAAGGGCUUGACUAAAUUACCAAACCACGCACGAGAGGACUCUGUUUCAAACCAUACAGAGAUUUUCGAAGGCGACAUACUUUAUCACUCUCCCCUGAGCAACAAACCUGGUGGUUGUUCCAUAUAAACUUCCUCUUGAAGAUCAGCCGUGAAGAAAAGCAUUCUUAAUGUCAAGUUGAUGCAACGACCAUUUAUUGGUAGCAGCCAUGGAAAGAAAUAGGCGAAUGGAAGUUAACUUGGCAAACCGGAGAGAAUGUAUCUGAAUAAUCAGUGCCAUAGAUUUGAGCAUAACCUUUGGCAACAAGGCGAGCCUUUAAGCGAGCCACUGUUCUCAGGAUUCAUCUUGACAGCAAACACCCAUUUACAACCAAUGGCCUUCUUUCCUGGCAGGACGAGAUACCAAAUCCAAGUACCAUUAUCAUCUAAAGCAGUCAUCUCCUCAAUCAUUUGCAUUUUGCCGCCAGGAUGAGACAAAGCUUCAUGAAAGAGUUAGGAAUAGAUGUGGAUUCAAGAGACGUAAUAAACGCAUAUGUGGAGGGAGAUAACUGGUGAUAGGAAAUAAAGGAAGAAACGGGGUAAGUACACUUGCGUUUACCUUUGCGAAGAGCAAUGGGAAGAUCAUCACUUGGCGCUGGAUCACAUGAUGAAGGAAGCAUUGAUGGAGGACAUGAGUCUGAAGGUUGUGGUGGAGGUCGUCGGGAGUAGACUUGAGAAAUCAACGGGCGGGAAGGAGCGGCAUCAGUAGACAAGGAUGGUGUGGGAGAGGUAACCUCAUAUAUAAAAGAUUGUCAUCCUCCCCCUGACACAAAACUCGAUGGUGAUGAAGUAAAGGGUGUAUCUUCAAAAAAGACAAACAUCAGGCGAAACCAGAUACCUUUUAAGGGUAGGACAAUAACAACGAUAACCCUUUUGAACACGUGAAUAACCCAAGAAGAUACACUUCAAGGAUUUGGGAUCUAACUUAGUAUGAUGAGGACGAACGUCACGAACAAAACAGACACAACACAAAUAUCUUAGGAGCAAUAGGAAACAAAUGCUUGUAGGAAAAGAACACGAUAGGGAAUCUCACCAUUAAGAACAGAGGAAGGCAUUCUAUUAAUCAAAAAACAAGCUGUAGAAACAGCAUCAGCCAAAAGAUUUUUUGAAACAUGCAUUUGAAACGAUAAAGCACUGGCAGUUUCAAGUAAAUGCCUAUUUUUUCGCUCUGGCAACACCAUUUUGAGAUGGAGUGUCAGCACAGGAAGAUUGAUGAAUAAUGCCAUUUUCACACAAGUAAGAACCAAGAGAAUGAGAAAAAAUAUUCACGCAUAAUCCGCAUUAUCAGUACGCAAAGUUUUGAUAGAGACAUUAAAUUGGUUUUUUAUUUCAGUAUGAAAGGCACAAAAAUGAGAUAAUAACUCAGAACGAUUUUUCAUUAAUAUAACCAAGUUGACGAGAAUGAUCGUCAAACAAAGUAACAAAAUAACGAAAGCCUGUUUGAGAUACAACUGGACACGGACCCCAAAUAUCAGAAUGAACUAACUCAAAUGGAGCAAUUGCUCGUUUAUCGACUCGAGGACUCGAACUAAGACGAUGAAAUUUCGCAAAUUGACACGAAUCACAAUUUAAAGAGGACAAAGACCUAAAUUCUGGAUAAAGUUUCUUCAACACAACAAAGAUGGAUGACCUAAACGACAAUGGACUUCAAAAGGAGAGGGAACGACAGGACACGCCACAGCUUGCGAUACUUGAUGAUCAAAGAGAUAAAGGCCUCCUGACUCAUAUCCUCUACCAAUAAUCUUCUUCGUCACACGAUCCUGAAACAAGCAAUAACCAGAAAAGAACAUGACAACACAAUUUAGGUCAUGAGUAAGUUGACUAGUAGAAAUUAAAUUAAAGGAUAAGUUAGGCAAAUGUAACACAGAAGAGAGAGAAAAGGAUGGGGUAAGGUGAAUAGUGCCAGAGCCAAGAACAGAAGAUGUGGGCCAUCGGCCAAUGUAACAGAUGGGAAAGGGGCAGGGGACAACGGUCUAGAAAAUAGGUGAGAAUUACCUGUCAUAUGAGCUGUGGCACCAGAGUCUAUGACCCAUUUGGUAGAUGAUGUAAGAAGACACUUUAUAUUACCUGGGGCAACAGUGGAUGCAAUCGAGUAGAGGAAGAUGACGCUUGUAAUGACUCUUGGUAAUUCUGAAACUUAGCAAACUCAUCUGCAGAAAUAGUAACUGACGCCUCUGGUAUAUCGCAUGUGGAGGCUAUCUGAGCAUGUUGAGAUCGUUGACUAUUCUUAUAUAGCAAUUUCCGACAAUCACGUUUCAUAUGGCCUGGCUUACGACAGUAGUUACAAACAAUCUCUACAGACUCUGGUUUUCGAUGAUCAGUACUAUUCCUCUGAGGUGCCCGAGGGUUAUUGUUCUUGCUAAAGAGAGCACUACUGGGUUGAGGGAAUAGACACACUAGUCGGAGAGCUUUCAAUGCGAAGGACUCGAGUGAAGGCAUCAUCUAAUGAUGGAAUCUUGGAGUCAGAGAGAAUCUGUGUCUUUGCCAUUCCAAUUCAGGUAAGAGUCCAUUCAGAAAAAUCAUAACAGCCAUCUUCUCUCGUUGAACUUGUUGAACUUUACAUCAGGACUAAAGGUAACAACAAGCCAAGCUCGGCAAUGAUCUUCUUAAGCCGCAUAAAGUAGCUGGUGACAGACUCAGCUUUCUGUUCCGCACGAAAAAUUGCAUACAAACUUCAAACAUUCUAUGCACUUGCUCUUUACCUGAGUAUAGAAAAUCCAAAAAUUCCAAAAGUUCUUUAACAGACUCACAGUGAUCAACCAAUCCAAUUAUCUCACUCUCAAUUGAAUUCUUGAUCUGAAGAUAUAAACGGGCAUCAUCACGAAGCCAAUCCUUCUUCUGCUUUGCAUCUUUCAUAACACAUACAAUCUGAGAUCCAAGUCCUCAAUUUUAGAGGGAGCUGUCCUGAUCAGUUGGUGGAAUGCAAGGCCCUGAUUUUCUGUGGGUAAUGAUUGUGAAAGUACACACGGUUAAUCUCCUUGCGGUCAGCUUGCAAGCACAGAGUGCAGUAGCCAAGUAGGAUAUAUGUUUCAUAUCAUCUCACAAGUGUUGAUUUCAUGGCAUAAAAGAGUACAAAGACUCCAAAAACUCUAAUGAAGAUUCUGUUACGUUUGGGACUUUAGAUGACCUUAAAAUCUUGAAAAUAGUGGUAGAGGGUACAAUGUUUAACUAGUUGAGGUACUUAGAAAAAUGUCAACAAAGAAGAGAUCUGGUUUUGCACAACUUAGUCGCUGGGCUAUUGAAUUGAAUUAAUUCUACAGAAUACGAGUCUUUGCCACUUGUUAAUUCAAGAGAUAGUAACAAGGAAAUUUUGCAUGUGGAACAUGCAUUUAUUAUAAUUUGAAUAAUUUUGGAAAAAGUAUAGUUACUGUUCAAAUGAUAGUUAUUUCAGUGGUAUACUUUGUCAUUUUGUUUGAAUUAGAAACACUUUCAUAGAUGAUAAUAUUGUAGAAGAGGGGGGAGGAAAGCAAGCCCGAUGCUGAAGGAGGUUACAAAAAAGUUAUCCAACUGGCUGUAACUGUGUAAGGAGAAACAAUGUUCUACCAGGGCCACAAAAGUAAGGGGUGUAAGAGAUGAUUGAAGGAUUGCUCUUUGUUGUCAACAUUGGAUUUCCAAUCUUUUAGGCUUAUAGUCAAAGGAUAGGGAAGAUUAUCUACGGAUGUGCUUCAUUUUGCAAUUUGUAUGGAGUUAUGUUUGGAAAGAAAUAUUUAAGCUUAUAAUGGGCAGGAGAUAGAUGAAUAAAACCUUUAAGUAGGAAUUCUUUUAAAUUUUGGGUAUCUUCAAUUAACAUUGUGCUAAAGAACCAGAUUUUGCUAAAUAGAUGACCUAUUUGAAAACUCCAUUUGGAGGGUUUGGCUUUUGGAUCCCCAACCUUCCCCCACAUCACUGCUGCUUAUAUGUUGUAAAUGCCUUCGUUAAUGGGUCCUUUCUAUUGUAUCCUUUGUCGAAAGGUGGAGGAAAACAUGGACCACAUUCUCCGAGGGUGUCAGUUUGUGAGAUCAGCGUGAAUUGUUUUUCUUUUAGGAGUUUGAUAUUGCGAUUGCUCGCCAGAGGGAUAUUCGUUCAAUGAUUGGGGAGUUCCUCCUCCAUUUGUCUUUUAAAGUGAGGCUGUUUUUUUGUGAUUCGUAGGUGUGUGUUUGGUUGUGGGAGAGGUACAGUAGAGUGUUUCGAGGUGCGAAUGGAGACCCUUGUGCGGUUUGGUCCUUGGUGAGGUUCUGUGUUUCUCUUUGGGCUUUGGUUUCAAAGACCUUUUGACAAUAGAGUGUUCUCAAUGAAAACUUUUCAAUAUAAUAAAGCAGUCUACAGUGGCAUGAGUCAAUUUUUCUUGAGCCAUAUUUUAAUAGAAUUCUUUUGUACUGAAUUAGAUGAUCUUCUUACCUUGAUGGUUUGUAAUCUGAACAGUUCUUACUUGCAUUCCUUGAAGAGAAGCCUGUUAAGAGAAUGUCAUGUCAUGAGGUAAUUCAUUUUUGCUGUCAAGUGCAUGCCUACAAGGACUCUCCUGUUUUCUCAUUUUCAGCUUGGACAGUUGUUCUUUCAGGAUGCUCAACGUAAUAUGCAGCCAAGUUUUAUAGUUGAUGAUUCAGAUGAUGAAGACAUGGUUGAUGAUGCUGUUGAAGAGGAAAGUGAUGAUGCUGUUGAAGAGGAAAGUGAUGAUGAUGUCUUUGAUUCUGUCUGUGCAUUUUGUGAUAAUGGUGGCAACAUUAUAUGGUAUUUGUUUCUGUUCCUUGUUAUCAGAUGAACAUUUUGGUAAUGCUUUAAAAUGCUGGAGGUGGCCUUGAGGCUUUUCCUCUUGGAGAGGCCGAGGAGUAAGCCUCAAAAAGUGAAUAAAAACAUCUUGAAAAUCCUAAAUUGGUAUAAAUAGCCAAGUAGUGCUAAACAUGAUUGUCAUGUAAAAGUGCUAAGAGAAAAUUCACCCCUGCAAUUUUCACUUGAUCAAAAAAUUCUAAAGGAUAUCUUUAUCAUUACUACAACUACUAAUAUGUAAUAGGAUUGAUUUAUAGUAUAAAUUUUGCCUUCAGUGUUUUUAAAGUCACAACAACAAAAGUAAUCCUAAUUCAUAUUGACACAACUUAAACCUUGAUAUUUUUGAAGAAGCUAGGCAAAUGACUAUUUUUUUUAUCACUAGAUGAGGCACAUAGAUUUUAAGCCUUGAUGCAUUUUUACAAAGCUGUUAGCUUCUUCUAUGAGAGGUGUAAGCCUCUUAUGGUCGUCGUAAAUCUCAAGGCUAAAACUUAGAAUUUUGCCUCAGGAUGAGCCUCAAGGUGUGAGCCUCAAUAGCUUUUUGGAACAUCGAUUCUAGGUUCAUAUUUUGAAAUACUUGUAAACAACAUUGGGCGUGGUUAUUGGGACCUGCGAAAAAAGUUAAAAGGUGCUAUGACGAAUAUGUUCAAACCCUCAUGUAUGCUGCCUACCAUAUCUAAUCCUACAAAAUUUUGACAAAAGAAGGUUGUGAGCCCAUAUGGUUUCCUUGUGAAAUAAGUUGAGGUGCACGUAGGUUAGCUUGGACACUCAUAAAUAUAAAAAAGGGUAAUCGUAAUGGAUGACCAUUUGAGGAAUAGUAAUUAAGGAUAUAGCAACAUUUUAAAAAAAUUGCAAAUAUAGCAAAACUAUCGCUGAUAGACUUGUAUCACUGAUAGACUCGUAUGAUUUAUCGGUGAUAGACCAAUUUUUAUAACAUGGUCUAUCAGUGAUAGAUUCUAUCAUUGAUAGAAUUUGACACAUUUUGCUAUAUUUGCAAUUUUUUAAAAAUGUUGCUAUAUACUUAAUUAUUUUGAAUUUAAUUGCUAAAUUUGCAACUAUCCCUAUAAAAAAACAAAACUUUUGAAAUAUAUGUUUUGUGAAUUUUUGAGGUGGUUAAAAACAUAGAAUCAUCAUCUUUCAAAUUCACACAGUUAUUCCAGUAGUCAUGGAAGUUCUCUUCUCUCUCAUUUAGAUGGCAUCCUGUUAGAGAAAAGGCCAAGAAAAUACAUGGUGGUACAUAGUUUUGUAGCAUCAUCUUGGAGUGUUCUUUCUAAAUUUUUUGUACCUAUUCUCUCUCUAUAGUUUUCAGUAUCUUCUUUGGUUUUAGGGUUUCCUUUUUGUAUAUUUCAUUAUUUUUGAUGAAAUGUUGAAGUAUUCAUUUUCUGUAGUGCAUUCCUUUCUGUUUUGUUUAAAGUGAUCCAUUGAUAUUUGAUAAUUCAUUUUAUGGAUCUUGUGUCCGAUUUUAACUAAAUGAUAAGGUUUUUUUUUCUUGUGGAGAGAGUAUAUUUCAUAUCUCAACUGCCAAUACCUGUUCUCCUGUUAUUUUUUAAUAUACCUUCUGCCUUUUUUUCACAAUACACAUAUUGUUUUUUUCCCCUACUUUAAAUUAUCGAGGUUGGUUACUGGCUUUGCAAAAUUGUUUGUUUCUUAAAAUCAUAGUUCGAUGGAAUUUCCUUCCCUUUAGCCUUCUUCUCAGAAUGACAUAGAAAUGACAGCUCGACCAGGAAAUCACACACAAAAGUGUUUCUAGUUCAAAAUAAUAUGAUCUAAUGAAUAAUUACAGAAGUCAUUGGAAAUUUUCUCCCAAGUAGAAGCAUCAAGCUAAGCCUAAUAAGCUAUUUUGAUUUUCUUAUAGCUGUGAUGGGAGGUGCAUGAGGUCCUUUCAUGCAACUGAAGAGGAUGGUGAUUGUUUCUCGCUCGGUCUCUCUAAAGAAGAAGUAGAUGUAUGAUAAUAUUCAUGUAUGUUUUCUAUGCUUGCAAACUCCCUUUGUUAAUUUUCUUCAAUAUCUAUGGGCUUGCUGGCAGGCAAUUGAAACCUUUAUUUGCAAGAAUUGCGAGUACAAACAGCACCAGUGCUAUGCUUGCGGGAAUUUAGGUUCAUCUGAUCAGUCUUCUGGUGCUGAGGUAUGGGAUUAAUAAUGUUUACUGGAUGUUUUUGAUUUUUUUUACUUUCAAUAUACACUGUUUUUGCGGGGUAUGUUUUUCUUAGAGAGAAACACGAAUGAGAGAGGAAGGUGUCUUUGCGGGAAUAAAAUGGGUCAUAAAUCCAAUUUGAACAAGAUAUCAAAGUGAAAAUUACACUUUUGAUCCUUGAGGUUUGUUUUGAAUUGUUGUCUAAGUUUGAAAAUUGAACAAUCGAGUCUCCUACAUUUGAAAAAUGCUUGAUUUUGCUCCCUUUAUUAACAGGAUCUACAUGUGGUAAUUACUAUGAAUAAAAAUAUUAUUAAUUAAUAUAAAUAAGUUGAAUAAAAUACUAAUUUUAAUUUUAUUGAAUUCUCUCUCUCCUCUCCUCCUUCAACCCCUCUCCAUCAUUGUUGUGCCGCUCACCGUUGUUGCUAUUAAAGGAAAAGCCCACCAGCUCCCUUUUUCUUCCUCUUCCAACAAAAAAUGUAGGAAAUAUGAACACAAAUACAAAUAUAGGAUAAUUCAAUAGGAUACAAAUGAUAUGCCAAUUUUUGAAAAACUAGGAUAUGGAUACGUUGAAGAUAUAUUAUUUUAAUUAAGAGAAUAUCAAAUAUAUGCAGAUUUAACAUAAAGAUGCUAAAUGUAAUGCACUAAUAGACAUGAAGUGUCAAGUUCAGUGUUUUUAAAGGCUCAAGGCGCACUAAGGCGCAUUGGUCCUCUGGAGCCUAGGCACAAGGCGCAAAAAAAGGCGUGAGCUUUUUUUGAUAAGACGCACUAUAUAUAAAAAGAAAAGAAAAUAUAUAUAUACACACUCGUAGCAGAGCAACAAUGUAUAAAAUAUAAGUACCCAAUAUAAGUAGCCUAAACAACAAAACACAACAGAAAACUACCCAGUAUUCAACAACAAGUCAACAAUCAAAAUAAAAGUUCAUCCCUAAAGAUCAAACUCAUCAUCACUAAAUUGAUCCUCGUCUUCAUUCACUCCUUCGUUAGACUUAUUGCCAUCAGUAUCUUCUUCUUCCAAAUCGAAGUCAUCUAAAUUUACUUGUUUGCGUUGCGUGGUAGACGAGGAUGAACAUGAAACAUUAGUCUUUGCUCUAGAGGUACUAGCUCUAGAAUAGAAUGAUGGUUCUUUUGCUCCGACAGCUCUAGAAACAUCACCCCACGUUAAAGAAUCAUCGUCAAAUACCAACUCAUCAUCCUCCUCAGAAUCGUCAUCCAAUCUUCCAAUCAACCAUUCGUUACUAUCAUCAAUAUCUUUUAAGGAGAUGGGAUCGACAAUAUCUUGUAGGUUGUAUCGACGUUUUAAUGCUGUGUUGUAUUUGAUGAACACUAGAUCAUUCAAACGACUUUGAGCAAGCCUAUUUCGUUUCUUGCUAUGAAGCUGAAAAAUUAGAAAGUUUCAUUAUCAGUGAAUCAACAAAUUUUGAUUCUCAUUCUCAAUGUACUUAAGGAGAGAAAAGGUAACUUGUUCAAACACACUCCAAUUACGCUCGCAUCCAGAAGCGCUACAAGUAAGACCUAAAAUUCUCACAUCAAACUUUUGCAAGCUUGGAGUUGAUUGUCCAAAAUUAUCCCACCAUUCCACUAUAGGCACAAACAAAAAAAUAUAUAUUAAUAGAAGAACUUGUUGCUAGUAUCGUUGAGUAAUCGUUUAGUUGAAAUUUACCUGGAGAUAUUUUGUCCCUUUGUCUGAUUGCUAAAGGUUGUCCGAAUAAUGCUUCAGCUCUUUAUACUUGCUUAGUUCUGCAAGUAUUUUGUCUUGUACUUCCAAUGAAGCAACCAUUUUUGUUAUGCAUGAGUAGAGUCCAUUAACUAUUUCAUCAUCCUUCUGGAUAUUAGGAUUCAGAUAAUAGAAUGACAGGUUUAAAUAAUACCCCGCUGCAUGCAGGGGACGAUGCAACUGAAGCUCCCAUCUUUUAUCAAUUAUGGUGAAAAGGAGAGAGUCCAUUAACUAUUUCAUCAUCCUUCUGGAUAUUAGGAUUCAGAUAAUAGAAUGACAGGUUUAAAUAAUACCCCGCUGCAUGCAGGGGACGAUGCAACUGAAGCUCCCAUCUUUUAUCAAUUAUGGUGAAAAUGUCCUUGUAUUUUUCUUCAUUAUUAUUAAAGGAUUUAGCAAUAGCUUCUUAGCUCUAUCCAUGGCCUCAUAAAUAUAUCCUAGGUGGCUUCUUCUCGCCAUCAACCAAUCUAAGAACUCGGACUAGUGGGCCAGAUACUUUAAGAGUGAAAACAAUUGUAGUCCAAAAACUAGCCAACAAAAUAGUCUGAACUACUCGUUUCGCUUGUUGCUCCUUACUCCAUUUGCUAUUCUUCCAUUCAUCUGAAGUAAACAUCUUCCUCAGAUUAUUCUUUUGACGAUGUAUACUCGAUAAUGUAAUGCAGGCAGUAGCAAAACGAGUCUUAGCUAGUCUAACUAACUCCUUUUGGUUAGUAAAACAUCGCAUCAUGUUUAACAAUCCAGGAUGAACAUAUAUGAAAUUGCUAAUCUCCAUGCCUCUUUUCAAUGCUUUUCGAAUAUUCGAGAUCUUGUAUACAUCCUCCAACAUCAAAUCUAAGCAAUGAGCGGUACACGGAGACCAUAUUAACUGUGGGCGCUUUGCUUCUAACAAUCUCCCUAUUAACAAAGAAAAUAAGUACACAUUUAACGUAGAACUCAACUAAAUCUAACAAAUUAAAGUUAUAACUUGUAAGUAGUCUACAUUCUUACCUGCCAUCACAUUUGCUGAGGCACUAUCGGUAACUACUUGUCCAACAUUCGCUUCUCCAAUUCGGUCUACAAAAUUAUCAAAUAACUCGAACAUCUUCUUUCCAUCUUUCACAUAAGAUGAAGCAUCGAUGGACUCAAUAAACAUGGUGCCUUUAGGACUGUUAACUAAAAAGUUAAUUAAUGUCCUAUUUCUUCUAUCGGUCCAUCCAUCAGCCAUAACAGUGCAUCCAACCUUGGCCCACUCUGCCAUAUGGUUACUCAUCAACUCAUUUGUUGCUUCUAAUUCCUUUUUCAAACAUGGAACUCUUAACUCAUGAUAAGAUGGUGGUUUCAAUCUAGGACCGAAUUGCCCAAUUGACUCAAUCAUAGGGGCAAAACUAUCAUAUGUGCAGGCAUUCAGAGGCACUCCUGCAUCAUAAAACCAUCGAGCAAUUCUUUGGAUGGUGUGCUCUCUCAUUUCCUUCUUGUAUGCCCCAUUCAAUGAAGUUUGUUUUCCUUUGUCCUUUCUAUUUUGAACCACAGUUUCUGGGUUAGGAGUAAAAAAUGCAUCCAUUGGACCCUUUUGCCUUGGCUUCUUCAAGCUCGGGCCCCUUGGUGUUGUUAUGUUGUUUACACUAACACUCCCUUCAUCUUCAUCCUCGAUACCGUAAUCUUCUACAUCAAUGUCCACAAUCAGAUUUCUUUGUUCUUUAAUCUCUUUUUUUUUGGACAUGUACUCUUUAAUUUCUUCCUUCACGUGAUCCGAACAUUUUGUACAGGCGGUGACAUUUCUGUAACCACCAGCGAGGUGUUGUUUCAUUCUAUAUACCCCUCCUUUUGUUACUUUCGAACAAAAUCCACAGACAAACGUAUUUUUAUCUUGGUCAUUUUGCAAUUGACCAUAUUUCCAUGCCGGAUUUUUUUGAACUUUUAUCAGCCAUCUAUGAUCUAAGUUAUAAAAAAAAAAAAAAAACAGAAGCUAUUUAAAACAGAAGCUGUUAUAAAAAGAUAAAAAAACAGAAGCUAUCUAUGGAUGGGAUGAAGCUGUUAUAAAUGGAGGAUUGGAGGGGAGUGUGUUGUGAGAGGGAUGGGAUGAAGGUUGAGUUUGAUGGGUUAUUGAAGGAAGUUGUGGUCGAGAAGUAUAAGAAGAAGAAGAUGUCCAAAACUUGCACACAAUAAAUAAGUCAAGAGACAAAACCAAUAGUCACUCAAUGGGUAUACCACGCUAUGAAAACACAAAACGACAUAUGUAGUUCGUAGCCGUCAAAUCAGCAAAUUGAUAGCUAACUUAGACCAAAACAUACUAGAACCAAAUGAAUCUGUGACACAACAAAGUGUCACAGUAGAGUAUGAAAUUUAAUGCAAGAUGUCAAAUCAACAAAGGAGAGAUACUCAGAAUUCGACAUCUAAAAAAAUAGCCCACUAUGCUUAGCAUGAAAUAUAGACUUUUGGUCAAAACUUGAUUGUAGUUAUCUCAAUCCUCUGCUAUAUUUCAUCUCAUUCCUCUCGAGUUUCAUUGGAAUUGUAGGUGGAAACUUAGUUCUCGAAAAUGAAAGAGAGGAUCCACCUUCCAUUCUCUUAGCAACCAAAUUAGAGGAAAUGACAAUAGAGCCAAAAGAUGCAAUAGAUAGAAAACAUUUCAAGUUCGUUCAUCCAUAUUUGUUCUUUUCACCAUUCUGAGCAAUCAAUAUGUUAAAUGAAAGUAAAAGGAUAAAAACUAAUAAUCCUUUGAAAAGCAUGUACGAAAUGGAAGAAGUUGUUGAGUGAAAAAAAGGAAUGUGAGAUUUUGAAUGUGAAUCUGACGAAAGACAAUGAAUUGAUUAAGAAGUUGUUGGAGGAAUCAGGCAGGGUAAUUGAAGAUUUAGAGAGGAAAGUGGAUGUGAAAAUGAAGGAGAAAGGUGAGAUUGAAAAGGAAAAAAAUGGGCUGGAAAUGGAGGUUGAGAUUUGAGAAGUUAGAGAAGGAAGUUGCUCAAUUAAAACAGAGUACAUUCUGUUUCAAACAGGAAAAGGAAGAGAACGGGAAGAGAAUUUCUGAGCUUCAAAUGAGAAUUGAAUAAGCUGUGGUGAAAGAAAGUGGGAUGCUGAUGGAGUUUGAUGUUCUUGUCAAAGAGUUACAGAAGAAGGAGAAAGCAAUGCAGAUGUUAACUGAACAAAGAGAUUCACUUGAUGUGAAUUUAAAUCUAAUCCAAGAGGAGGCAAAAAGUUUACAACGUACGAUUGAGAUACUCACCCGCGAUAAAGCUGAAAUGGAGGAGGUGAAAACUGAAGCAGAAUAUUAUUGUCUUCUCUUUUCCUCUGUUUUUGCACCAAAAAACAGAGUAAUGGCAGCCGCAGCACCAAAUAGAUUUGUUGACGUUUUGUGUGAAGAAGAAGGGUGGAAAAGGAAGCAAAAAGUUUUGAAGUAGAAGCAGAACGGAAGAACCGAAAAAGUAGAUGAAGAGUCGUGUUGAAGAAAAUUCAUGCGCGGGAGGAGAAGGGUGAAGGGUUGUUUCUUCACUUUCACGUAAUAGGUUUAAAAAAUUUAGAUAAUAAUAGUUUUUUAUAAUUAAAGCCCAGCCCAUAAGUUAUAAAAAUAGCCCACUCCUAAUUCGACUUGCGCCUUUGAGGCGCGCGCCUAAUCUGGGCUUUUUAGAAUUCUCCGCACUUCCUCACAAAUAAGCUCCAAGUGGGCGCCUUGAGCCUAGGCGCGCGGCUUAGUGCGCUUUUUAAAACACUGGUCUAGUUGAUGACAAUACUACAAAAUACUUUACCAGAAGUACUAUCAAAGGUAUUGAAAUACAAUUUCUCUUAAAAAAUAUUGAAAUACAAUUGCAAUGGAAUAGAAUAGAAAAGGUUGGCGCACCAGAGUUAGAAUGACAGAGGAGAAGAAGAUUAGAGAGAGAAGUACGAGGAUAAAUGAAAAACUUCUUCAUUGAAUUGUUAAAGAUAUUUAAGUGGGUUAUUUUGUGUGACUUAGGCGGGAUGGAUGAAGAUUAGAUGAUUCUAGUUUGGUCUUUUUAAAUAUUUUUCCUUUUAGUUUUGGGUGGGGGCAAUGGGCUUUUUAAAUAUGCUACCUAGUUUGGAUUGGGAAAGAUUAGAUGCCUUCUUUUUAGAAGGUCCAACGUGUCCACUUCAGAAGUGCAUUUGAUAUUUGUUUUUUAUUAAAAGCAAAUAUGUCAAAUCACUUAUCCGAUAUGUAUAUGGGAAGUAUUUAGGAGUAUUGAUAUUUGAUACGUAUUUGAUACGAUUUUUUGCUUCACAUGGAGUAUUCAUGCUUCAUAAGCAAAAAAAACCCACACCCCACUCCCCACUCCUUUCUUCUUUGAGAAAAAAAGCCCUCGCCUUGCCUUCAUCAGUGAGAGGGCAUCGAACUUGUACACCAUUAUGUACCCUUUGAAACCACCAGCACCAGCACCAGCACCCUUUUUUGACAAGAAACAAGCUUUUUCAUUAAAAUAAUGAUAUGAGACUAUGCUCAAAGUACAAUGGAAACAACAAGCAUAAAGCUGUGGAUCAGGAGGUGCACCCGGGCAUCUCAACUAGGUUGACACCCCAUUAGUACCAUCAACACCUUGAAAAGAAACUUGCAAAUAACUUAAUAACUUAAAAAUUACAAUCAUUGCCAAGAUUUUUUUUUUGAAACGAAAAUAAGCCUCUUUAUGAAGGAUAAUGAGACUAAAGCUCAAAGUACAAGAGUAUUAUACCAAAACCAAAAGAACUAAGGGAAAAAACAAGCUAAAACAUAAACAAAGACUAUAAUCGGGCAACAUAAAUAUGAUGGAAACUUAAAUACGAGUCCGAAUCAGAAAAUAAACGAGCUAAUCAAAGCCACACAAUACAGUACAUCAGUAGAAAGCUAAGUAAAAAGCAAUACUUAAACACUCUCUCAAAAUUAGCCCACUCCACUCGUAUAAAAAGUACUGCACAUCCAAAUCUUCAAGAUGAUAGGAGAAAAUGAAAGCCAAGAAGAUGCAAACAGCUGCCUCAAAGCUAACUUGCCAACACAAUCCAAAGUCCAGAGGAUCUGGAAGUAGUCUUCUUCCAAUCCACAUAAACUUGCCAGCACUGCCUUCAACUCAUUACUCCAGUUAUCAAAGAGAAGUCAGCUUUAGCAAUGUCAGUUUUCUGAAAAAACCUUCAACCCACCUUGUAAGAAAGUCCCUGAAAAUCUUUAAAGCUUCCAACUAAAAUCUGGCCGACAUCUUUUGAGCUCUAUAUGCUUUCUAUGACUUCUUUAACGAAGCUGUCCAUUCUAGAAUCUUGAAUUAGUAGUAUGUCUGGACUAAUUUCUUUUGAAAACUUCUAAGAAUCAGCCACCAUGUUUUUGUCCAAAUCAUCAUGCAAUUCAAUAGCUAAUCUUCAAUUUUCAACCCUGAGGAUAUCCACCGAAUGACCUGUUUUCCUUUGGAUUAGGCUAAAGAGAUUUCACAGGUAUCCACUAUGGAAUGCAAUUUUUAGGUAUGUAUUUUUCUUUUACAGUGGAGUAAAGGAAAGCUUUUCUUAAUGGAAAGUAAUUGAACCUCUUCAGAUUGGAAUAAAAUACUUAAAGCCUUGUUCAUAUCAACUGGCAUUUUAUUGUAAUUUCUAUCUCCUCAUUGUCCUCUUUCCUGUUCUUCACUGCUUACACUUGCCAAUGACUCUUCAUCAAAGUCUUUCGUACCUUUAUGAGAAGUCUGAAAAUUGCUAUGUAAUCCUCGCACAGAAGGAGGAUUGAAAGACUCUUGGGAAUUACAUCCGAAAUGGGAACCAGGUUUAUUCAAAAAAGGUAAAGAAGCUGACCUGUUUUGAUUUAGGCCAGGGACUUGGAUCUUGACACAACAGCCUCAAGCAAGUCAGGGUUUGUGAUUUUUGUCCAAGAAUUGCUAAAAGAAGUCCUUUUCUUGGUCAAGUGUUUUCGGAAAGGCUUAACCAAAUAAGAACUUCCUUGAGACAUUUUAGGAAUCUUGCACUUCUUGUUUCUCUUCAUUCGUUGAUGCAAGCAAAUGUUAGCCGGAAAUUUCUGAGGUAUUUCGAACUCACUCGUAUUGUGAGAUGGAGACUGAAGAAGAUCAUUAUUCGAGUUAUCCUUGGACAAUUGGAAUGCUAUAUUCACUGUACUGUUUGAUUGGUUGGAAAAAGGCAAGGAAGAGUUGGAUUCCAAGGCAGAGGAAGAUAUGAGAACACGGCUGGAAGGUGGAAGGGUUCUUGAGUGAUUAGUUAAUGCUGCUGAGCUGUCUUUUGGGAGGAAUAACGGAGGAACUACAACAGGCUCUCUUUUAAAUUUCUUUUUCGUGCCCUUACGGAUGGAAGCAGAACAAUUACUUUGCAGAGAAUCAUUUCCAUUCACAUUCUCUUUCCUUGUUAAAGCUUUUUUCGUGUUCAUACUAGGCUGGAAAGUAGCCCCAUUUGAGCUUUCCACCAUUUGAGGUUAGACCAAAGCCCAAUGAAUUAAAUGCAUAGAUAUCUUCUGCUGAAUUCUCUCUCUUCCUUGGAUACAGCCUAUUAAUUUCUAACGGACAUAUUUCAUUUCCAAUCAGAUUGUCGGCCUCCGGCGCCGGUGAGGAAACAUGAAUUUGAUUCAAAGCUUCUAAUGGAUUUCUUGAAAAGGAGGGAGCUGUUUUAGUGGAUUUAAACACAUCAAGUUCUUGAGGGAAGAACAAAACAUUAACAUCUUCAUCUUCCAAAGCUUGCCUAACCCUUAGUUAAUCAAUAGGGUUUUUGAAAAUCCUUAACAAUAAGACUUCCCUUGAAAAUACAUGGGGGAUCCAUAGGCUCAAUAUCAUCAAAAUUCAAGAAAAAAUUACUUCUAUUAAAGUCUGUAAUUUCAGUGGUAGUAGGUAUAAUACCACAUAAAUUCGGUUUAACUUGAAUUCUUGCUUCGUUGCAAUUGGUUAGAUUAAGCGUUUCUGUGGCAAUGCUUUCUAAACCCUCAAAAUUCUCUCUGGUGGCUUCGAAGGUUUUUCUACACUAGUAGUCCAGAGGAAGGUUUCCAAUUCUUAACCAUCUGCUGCAGCCUUUCAUUACCAACGGCUGGCUGUUUUUUAAUCUAUCCCAUUUUUCGAACUUUAGGUGAAAUGGCCCCAUCUCCUGCCAUCUCUCAGGUUCAUUGAUGAAAUCUUCAACCAGGCCUUGAUCCAAACUAAUAAGAGCAUUUUCAUCCAAUAGUGGGUUGAUGAUAAUUCUUGUUUGGAAAAAGAUUUCCAGCAGUUUUCGAAUUUCUCUCCAAUAAUCAACGCAAAGAGUAUUGUAACUAUCCACAACUAUUCUGAUGUAGCCUAAGUAAUCUCAAGGAGAAAUCCUCCAAGAACCAAGAUUGAGAAUCUUUUAUUAGAAUGAAUAAUGUGCUUCAUACAAGAGGAGAAGACUUCUAUUACAAAUGGGGCUAAAAAGGGAAUUAAUCUAGAAUAUUACCUAAUUACCCAAUUAACUCUUAGUCUUCUUACAUCAUUUUCAAACUUUGUUUGAAUAACUUCCGAGUUAUUUGUCACCCCCUGACUCUGUUUUGCUCUCUUCAAAAUAGAGGAAACUUGAGAGCUUUCUCCUUCAUCUUUGGUCACAGCCUGAUAAUCAACUUUAAUGGCACUCUCUUUUUUUUCUUUUCAUCAUGGGUUAAGUUACCAUCCGAUUUAACUUUAUCUGUGAAGCUUGUACUCUUAGCCUGGGCUGGAUUAAAAGAUGUGGCAAUUUUAUGUGAAUACCAACUUAUAUACUCUGGUUUUGAAAAGGAAAUUCUCCAGCAUUUUGUGAAAUGCCACCCACCCCUGUUUGUCUUCUCCCUAACACACUCGAAUGAAGGAGUGUCCACCUGAAAAUGGCCAUAGGUCACACAACAUAACACCCAACCCUUUUUUGCCUUGAACUUUGACAACUUCAACCUUCCUUGGUUUAACUCCCCCAUUUCUGGAAGAAACAAUCUGCUGGGCCUCUUAAUAACACUGAUAAUGCUUUCAGGCACCAGCUCACAUCUUUGACAAGGAAGCUAUCGUCUUCUGACCAAAUGCGAUAAUACGAUUGAAGAACUUCGUAACUUACCACUUCCAUUGCAGUCUCACUUCUAAGCUUCCCUGUGCAAUUAAAACGAAACUCAACCACCAGACCUUUAGUGAUUGGUCUGUGGGUAGACUUCACCAGGAGGCUAACGUUGUUAGACUGAAAAGUAGUCGUUGUGAGGCUACUGGAAAAAGAGAGAACCGAAAAGGGAGCAGGAGGGAGGGGGGAGGAGGGAUAACAAAGAGAACUUACCUUUUAGCAACUUCCAGAUUUUCUGUUUCAUUUGAACAUUUGUUGUUUCUUCUCACUACAUCAAUAGAAAAGUUCUUGAUCUUUGUUCCAUCGCCAAGAAUAUUCAAAAAUAGCAAAACAAGACUAUGAAGUGUAGUAGAGGAAGAGAGCCAUCUUAUCCACGGUUGCCAUCAACAAUUACAUGGAGAUGAGAGCACUCCAGUUUAAACUAAUAUCUUGACUUGAAUAAUCAGCAGAAGCCUUGGCCCCCAUUAUUCUACACUCUACAUCAAUUCCCCUGAAUAUGUUUUUGCUACCAACUCAAAAGUGAUAGAGUCUAAAGAAUCACUUCAGAUGGUGGUUUGCCAACCCAUGAGGCUUUUCUUUGAGUUCGAAGAAAUGGCACGAGCUCGAUCCUCAUGAAAUUGAUGUCAACUGAGUUGAUUUAAUUGGAAAUGAUGUUAGGGUUGAAAGAGAGCUUGAUUGCAUCAAUUGAAUCAGGAGGGAGAAGGGGAAAGUGGUGAUGUAAGAAGAAUGUGGUUAGCUGGGUCAUAGUCUUAGGUUAAUUCCAUUUUUUACCACCACUUGUAUUAAAACUCUAUAAGUGGAAGUCUUCCCCUCAUGUAUGGACAAAUACUGAAUUAUCUUUUGUUCGAAGAAUUCUCGUAGAUUUUCUAGAAAGAUCUCCUUGCUUUUGUUCAAUUCAUUCAUUGUGUGGUGGGGAAGGGGAGAGAUACUUCCUUUUGGGAAGACCAUUGGAUGGGGGAGAGAUACUUACUUUUGGGAAGACCAUUGGAUGGGGGAGAGACCUCUCUGUUUCUUAUUCCCUCUUUCGUAUCAUUUUCUUGAUCACAAACACUGUUUUGUUGCUGAUAUUCUCGUGUGGUCUAGGAGCUCGUAUUCCCUCUCUUUUGGGUUCUGUUGUGCUUUUUCCUAUAGGGAAACAAUAGAGGUACUUGAGGGCCACUCGUUUAGACGUGGGUGAAGUGGUUCUCCCCUAGGUCUAUCUGUUUUCUUGUGCUGUGGAGGAUUGAGAUUCCUAGGAAAGUUAAGUUCUUUAGUUGGCAAGUUUUACACGACCGUAAAAAGAAAAAAAAACAGGAUGGAUAGGCUUAAGAGGAAGAUGCUCUCGCUUGUAGGUCCUUUCUUGUUGCAUUCUUUGUAGAAAAGGGAGGGAGAUCUGGACCACAUUCUGGGCAUUGUGAGUUUUCCAGCUUGGUUUGGAACUCUUUGUUUUAGACAUUUGGCGUUAGGGGGGACUUGACAUAGAGAUGUGUGUGCGUUGCUUGAGGAGUUCCUUCUCAACCCUGACCAGUGAGAAGGGCACUUCCUUUGGGUCAUGGGGUGUGUUCUAUUUUAUGGGUGGUGUGGGGUGAGCAGAACAAUGGGGUUUUUAGGGGUGGGGAGAGGGUCCCCAGUGAGAUUUGGUCCCUUGUACGUUAUCAUGUUUCUUUGUGGGCCUUGAAUUCGAAGGAAUUUUGUAAUUAUUCUAUAGGUGUUAUUUUGCAUAGUUGGGUCCCUUUUUCUAGAGGGUUCCCUUCCUUUUAGUGGGCUGGCUUUUGGUUAGCCUCCUAUUCUCUCUUUUUUUUUCCUCAUUGAAAUUGGUUUUAUCAUCAUAUAAACAAAAAAUACUCACCCUCAAAGUCAAGUUUAUUUAUUUAUUUUGAAACGGAGACAAAUCUUUUUUAUUAAUAUGCACUCAAAGUACAAGAGAGUUAUACAAAGAGAGUAAUACAAAGUCAAGUUUAUUUGUACUCUGCUUAUAUUUGGAAAGUUGUUAAAGAUUCAAUGAAACUCCUCUAAAAAUAACUCAUUGUAGGUAUAAAAUCGAUUGACCAUACACUUCACUACUAAAAUGGCUAUCCUUCACGUAUUGUAUGAAUAUUUACUAUAUGAAUCCUGCGCAAUAUAGACAUUGGCUCCUUUUUUUUUUUGUUUUAUUAAUUUGUUUUUGUUUAUUAUAAUCAUAAUGAACUUAGGUGAACCCUAAUAUCUUUCCAUCUUUACAUUUACACUAGAGUUUUUUCACAAUCUUUUGGUUCAUAAUUUUGUCGACCCUUUGAUUGGGUUUGAGUUGUUUGACUUUUUUUGCUAGUUUCUUGUUUGUAGGUUUGGAAUCUUUGUAGUUUUAAUGUAAUUUAUUUAUUAGCAUUGUGUUAGAUACCUACAUUUGUAUACAUGGGUUUAUAUUGUAUAAGGGUAAUUAGAUUAGUAUAGGGUUAGGGGUAUAAGGGUAAUUAGAUACUUAGGAAGUUACUAGUAGUUAUUGUGUAAGUGUGGUUACUAGUAGCUAUUAUGUGUGGUUACUAGGGUGGUUACAUCUUGUUAUAAAUGGAGGGAGGGUAAGUGAGAGAGAGAGGUUAUUAUGUGGAGUGAUUUAGGGCUUGGGUGAGAGUACUCAAGAGGGAGGUUCCAAGUGCCUUAUACUUGGGUUUAUCUUGUAUUUUCUUAUAGUUCAUUAUAAUAAAUUAAUAUCUUGUUCUUGUUAGCAACUUUCUAACACAUUGUUAAUUUUGCCAAUAGCUCAUAUCUCCCUUUGUAAUUAGAUCUUUUAAUGAGUAUUAAUAAUUGCUAGGCUCUUCUUUAUUAGUUUUGUGGGUGGGGUUUCCUCAACCCUUUCCUCUUAGAUGGUCCUUCUUGGCUUUUUUUGUUGAAUAUACAUAUGCUUUUCUUAUUAGAAAAAGAGAUUUACUUAUGAUUUUAGACAUCAGUCUCUGAUUAUUACCUAAUAUGAGUUACUAUUGCUCUUUAGGUCUUCCAAUGCGUAAAUGCAACUUGUGGUUAUUUUUAUCAUCCUAAAUGUAUUUCAAGAUUGCUUCAUCCGGAGAAUAAAGUUGCCGCUGGAGACCUUGAGAAGAAGAUUGCAUCUGGAGAAUCUUUCUCAUGCCCUGUGCAUAAGUGCUCUGUUUGUGCGCUCGGCGAAAAUAAGAAAAUAUGGGAACUACAGUUUGCUGUUUGUCGACGGUGUCCAAAAUCAUACCACAGGAAAUGCUUACCAAGGUAUCCUUUGAAUUUCUAUAUAGUGAAUCAGAGUGUAAUUUUUUAAGUUCUGGUGCUUAAUUGGUUAAAGAAUGCAUUGUUUUUGUUAGGAAAAUCACUUUUGAAGGUUCUGAGGAUGGUGAAACCCCGACCAGGGCAUGGGAAAAGCUAUUACCUAAUCGCAUUUUGAUAUAUUGCUUGUAAGAUUGCUGUGUCAGCUGUUACUACUAUUUCCUUUAAUCAGUAUUGGCCUAUUAAUGUUUUUUUUUCAUUUAAUUUGACCAGGGACCACGAGAUUGAUGAAGAAAUUGAGACUCCUGCUAGAGACCAUAUAAAAUUUCCUGGUCUUGAAGAGAGUAGGCUUCCCAUUCAGAAAAGGAAACUUCCUAUCAGUGAUACAAGACGAGGGAAGACGAUAGUUUUUCGUGGGAGUAGGGAGAAUGUUGUAUCAAAGAAGGGAUCUAUGCCAGAUGACCUUCAGGGAAAAUCUGCUGCAAAAGUAUCCAAAUCAUUUGAGAGGUCCUCAUCUGAUGGGAAGCUUCUUGGUAAAGUGACUGCGAAAUCAUUGUGGAGUUCUGAGUCUAAAAAUGUGAAAUUGGGUAACAUUUCAAGAAACUCUUUGAAUCAAAAAGGAGAAUCUGUCCUCAUGGACAUUGAUAAGACGAUCAAAGUGAAAAAAUCCUCCUUAGUUGGCAAGUCUGCCAUACCAACCAAGAGAUUUGAUCCAAGUAAGAUUUACAAGGAGGAUAGAAGUGGGAUGCUCCUAUUAGAUGCCAAUUCGGAGAGGAGGUAACUGCCAUUUGUACUUCACAUUUGGUUUUGAUGCCCUCACCCUUAAAAAAUGAAUUAAGGAAUGACAACAGUUAUAAACUUCCCUAAAGUGCACGCUUGCAUGUUUGGUAAAGUGGAUUUGUUUCUAAAAUAUUCUUUCUUUUAACCUAGGUUAAUGGACAUGAUGAAAAAUGUUGCAUCGUCAAUUACUUUGGAAGACGUAAUUAAGAAGCACAAAGUCCCAUCUACUCAUGCAUAUUCUUUAAAACAUGUAGUGGACAAGACAAUUAAGAUGGGGAAGUUGGAAGGGUCAGUUGUGGUAAGAAAAUUAUUAACUUUUGUAUCCUUAAAGUGAUCUCGUGGUUUCUUAUCCCUUAAUGGUCUACUGUUUUGGUUGUUAGGCUGUUCGAGCUGCUCUGCGCAAGCUUGAGGAAGGAUGUUGCAUUGAGGAUGCAGAAGCUGUUUGUGAGCCUGAAGUUCUUAACCACAUAUUUAAGUGGAAGGUGCUUACAAUUUCUUAUUGCACUGUUCUAAAGAAAUUUCUUAGGCUUUUAUUUGCUCAGCUGCUUUGACGAAAUUUUUGACAAAGCAUGGUCUUAUACUGACUAAUAUUUUGUGUUUUCGAAGUUUUGAACUAUUUUGUGCUUUCAUCUUAGACAUUCGGCCCCUGCUCUCUAUUUUCCUGUUUACAUCUUUUUCCUUAUGCUGAAUCAUUUGGUGGCAGAUGCCUUUUCUCGUUUUAGUAGCUCUAGGAUAUUGUUGGGAUUCUGUCAUUUGUUGUUUGAUAGAGAAGCAACUGACAUAGUGGCUCUUGUAUCCUCGAACGAGACAUUUGAUAUUAAUACGAAGGAGAAGGAUUGUUUCUCUUUGGAGCUUGAAUCCUUCUAAAAGUAUUUCUUGUAGUUCCCUCUUUUGGAGCUUUUGUGAAAAUUUUAAGAAUGUAGUUCCCUCUUUAGAGAUUUUGUAAAAUUUUUCUAGAAGACUUAGCACUUCUGUUUGUGGUAAGUCAAUCAUGGAAGACUUCUACAGAUAUUUCUUUUAAAAAGGAGACAGCCUCUUUAUUAAUAUUAUUGAAAAGAGAGACAACGAGUUCACACCAAUUUACGUGGAAACCCGAGUACCGGGAGAAAAACCACGAUUGUUUGUGUUGUUAUUAUUUUCUAAUGAAUAAAGCAAUAGGUACAAGGGAGAAUAAAUAGAGUACACAAUGGAACAAAAAAGGAAAAGAUUUAGGAAAAUAAGGAAUACAUUCCCAUAAUCUUUCCAUAAUUAUUCUAGGAUUCUAACAAGAAAAAAGCCUAGAAAAAAAGGAAAGAAUUCCAACACUCCCCUUAAGUUGGGACGUAAAUAUCAAUGAGGCCCAACUUGCUAACGCAGAAGUCGAAGUUUGGUCUGAGAAGCCCUUUGGUAAGAACAUCAGCAACCUGUUGACUCGAAGGGAUGUACGGAAUGCAUAUGCUCCCACUGUCAAGUUUUUCUUUGAUAAAAUGUCGGUCAAUCUCAACAUGUUUAGUUCUAUCAUGUUGAACAGGGUUGUUAGCAAUACUAAUAGCGGCUUUAUUAUCACAGAAAAGCUUCAAUGGUGUCUCACAUUCCUGAUGAAGAUCUGUCAAAACUUUCUGAAGCCAAAUUUCCUCACAUAUUCCUAAACUCAUAACUCUAUAUUCAGCCUCAGCGCUGCUCCUGGCCACAACACUUUGCUUUUUACUCCUCCAAGUUACAAGAUUGCCCAAACAAAGGUACAAUAACCAGAGGUAGAUUUUCUGUCAACAACAGAUCCUGCCCAAUCCGAGUCAGUGUAUGCCUCAAUGGUCUUUCUGUCUGUUUUUCUAAACAUCAGCCCUUUACCAGGUGUUGAUUUUAAGUAUCUCAAGAUUCUGUUGACAGCUUUCAUGUGUUCCUCAUUAGGGGUCUGCAUAAACUGGCUGACAACACUCACAGCAAAGGAAAUAUCAGGACGAGUAUGAGAUAAGUAAAUUAAUUUACCCACGAGGCGUUGAUAUUGUUCUUUAUCAACUGGAACUUGAUUAUCAGAGUUUCCUAGUUUGCAGUUGAAUUCAAUAGGAGUGUCAGUGGGACGAUCCUAACAUACCUGUCUCGGUUAACAAAUCAAGGAUGUAUUUUCUUUGAGAUACAGAGAUACCUUCUUUAGAUCUGGCCACCUCCAUUCCAAGGAAAUAUUUCAAAUUUCCCAAUCCUUGAUUUCAAAUUCAUCGCCCAUUCUCUGCUUUAGUUGACUGAUUUCUGCCUGAUCAUCUCCAGUCAAAACAAUGUCAUCCACAUAAACUAUUAGAACAGCAAUCUUUCCUGUUUUGGAAACCUUUGUAAAUAAAGUAUGAUCAGAGUGUCCCUGCCUGUACCCUUGGGACUUGACAAAGGUAGUGAUUCUGUCAAACCAUGCUCUGGGAGACUGUUUCAGACCAUAUAUAGAUUUCUGGAGUUUACACACAUGCUGACCAAACUGAGCUUCAAAUCAGGCGGAUGGCUCAUGUAGACUUCCUCUACGAGGGCUCCAUUAAAAAAGGCAUUCUUAACAUCCAGCUGAUAUAAAGGCCAAUCUUUGUUCACAGCAACAGAUAACAGAACUCUAAUAGUAUUCAACUUAGCAACUGGAGAAAAAGUUUCUGAAUAGUCAAUACCAUAGGUUUGAGUAAAUCCCUUCGCAACUAACCUUGCCUUGUGUCUGUCAAGAGUACCAUCAGCUUUGUAUUUCAGAGAGAACACCCAUUUGCAUCCCACAGUUUUGUGUCCUUAGGUAGAGUACAAAUGUCCCAAGUACUAUUCUUUUCAAGAGCUUUCAUCUCUUUCAUGACAGCAUUCUUCCAUUCAGGAUACUUUAAAGCAAUGUAGAUAUCUUUUGGUAUUAUGGUAGAGUCAAGGCUUGCUGUAAAAGCUCUGAACUGAGGAGAGAGACUAUCGUAGGAAACAUAAUUGCAAAUGGGGUGUUUAGUACAAGACCUGGUGCCUUUUCUCAGAGCAAUGGGAAUGUCAAGAGAGGAAUCAUACUCAUCUGAUUUUCCUGUAUGACCCUGUUCCGCUUCAUUAUUACGGGUUUCUAUUCUGACCUCAAUCUCAUCAUCACUGUCCUUUUCUUCAACGUUUUCAAGAACAACAACAUUAGACCUGUCAUUCUCACUUAUCAUAUUCUUAGUACAGGGUUCAGUAGGGUUUUCCAUACCUUGAUCUCGAGGAGGUUCAGAGUCUUGGACUGGAGCCGGUGGCUGACUAGUAGGGGAACCGACUUCCUUUUUGUGAUUCCUCCUGUAGUACGUUUUCCAGGGGACUUGGUUUGUGGGUAGGACUAUGGAAUGAGGAAUGAUGUUAGACACAACACUAGGAGUGGGUUCGAUGAAUUCAAAGGUGUUGUUAGACUCUUCACUCACACUCUCCCCUGAAGAUGGCUAACGGGAAAGUAGGGUCGAUCCUCACAGAAAGUAACAUCCAUAGUGACAAAGUAUUUUCUGGAUGGUGGGUGAAAACAUUUAUAACCACGCUAGUGAGGGGGAUACCCAACAAACACACAUGCCUGAGCCCGAGGGGUAAAUUUGGUUUGAUUAGGGCCAAAAUUAUGGACAUAAGCGGUACACCCAAACACACGAAGAGGAACCUCAGAAACAUGACUAGUCGAUGGGUAGGACUCCUUAAGACAAUCUAAGGGAGUUUGAAGAUGAAGAAUACGAGAAGGCAUUCUAUUGAUUAAAUGAGCUGCUGUAAGAAUAGCAUCUCCCCACAAGUAUGAAGGAAGGGAAGUAGAAAGCAUAAGGGAACGGGCUACUUCCAGAAGGUGACGGUUUUUUCGCUCGGCCACUCCAUUUUGUUGAGGAGUGUAGGCGCACGAGUUUUGAUGAACAAUCCCCUUUGAAGCAAGAAAUUCACUAAGGUUAUGGUUUUGGAAUUCCCGACCAUUAUCACUUCGAAGAAUAACAAUUUUUUGAUGGAAUUGUGUUUCAAUGGUGUGAUAGAAAUUUUGAAACAUAGAGGAAACCUCAGAUUUAUCAGUGAUAAGGUAGACCCAGGUAAGACGGGUAUGAUCAUCAAUGAAGGUUACGAACCACCGUUUUCCAGAUGAGGUUGUUAUCUUGGAUGGUCCCCAGACAUCACUAUGAACAAGAGUGAAGGGUUGGGUUGGUUUGUAUGGUUGUGAGGGAAAAGAGACUCGAUGUUGUUUGGCCUGAAUACACACAUCACAAGAUAAGGUAGUCAUCUCAACUUUAGAGAAGAGAUGUGGAAAUAAAUGUUUCAUAUAUUGAAAAUUAGGGUGGCCUAAACGAAAAUGCCACAACAUGCAAUCUUGUUCAGAAGUAGUGAAAUAGGAAGAUAAGAGACUAGUCCUAGGAAUGCUACUAGAAGAGGUAUCGUCAUCAAGGAGGUAGAGUCCCCUACUAUGCCGGGCAGUGCCAAUCAUCCUCCCCGAGCUCAAGUCCUGAAAAGAGACAGAAUCAGGUAAAAAUAUUGCUUUGCAGUUUAACUCAUGAGUGAUCUUGCUUAUCGAAAGCAAAUUAUAAGAUAGUUUGGGCACAUGCAAAACAUUAUGUAAGGAGAGCCUUGCACAAGGAGAAACCUUCCCUUUCCAGCAAUGGGGGCCAAGGAGCCAUCUGCAAUUCUAAUUGUCUCGUUCCCAGCACAAGGAAUGUAAGAUACAAAAUGUUCAGAGGACCCAGUCAAAUGAUCUGUGGCACCAGAAUCUAGAAUCCAGGGGUUCUUCCCAUCAAUACUAACAAGACCGAAGGAAUGAGGUAUACCUGUGAUUGGACAAUGGCACCUAAAGUGGCAAGACUGAGAUCAGUUUGGUUUUUGUGUGGUUCGGAUUGUUGAGGAGGUUCAGCAGACUCACUCACAUACGCCCGCCCUGUGUUCUGUUUGUCGUUGGAAGGGCGUUUCUUACUUCCUGGGGGACGACCAUGUAACUUCCAACAUUGUUCUUUGGUAUGCCAUUGUUUUUUGCAAUGAUCGCAGACAGGAAUUGGUUUUCCAUUAUGCUUGUCACUGCUACUGUUAGAAGAUCUUGCACUAAAAGCAGCAGAGUCAAUAGUAGGGGUUGCGGAAAUAUUCAUAGCACUUGUGCGAUCUUCCUCGAGGCGGAUUUCAGAGCAAACUUCCAUCAGGGAGGGAAUCGGUCUUUGACCUAGUAUACGCCCUCGAACUACAUCAAACUUAGGAUUAAGACCAGCAAGAAAGUCAUAAAUCCUGUCAUUCUCUUCAAUUCUCGAGUACUGUACACCAUCAGUGGGAUCACGCCAGACUAGUUCUCUGCAUAGGUCCAUUUCUUGCCAUAUAAGAGAAAGCUUAUUGAAAAAGGAUGUGACAUCCAUGGUUCCUUGCUUGCAUUCAUGAACUUGCUUUCUCAGCGUGUAUAGACGAGAGGCAUUCUGACGUUUUGAGUAAAGUGUCUGAGCUGUGUCCAAAUAUCCUUGGCUGUUGCAGCAAACAAUAACGGCUUGCCAAUUUGAGGUUCCAUACUAUUGAUCAAUAUGGAUCGAAGAAUAGAGUCUUCUGCCUUGCAAUAUCGUUCAUGUGGGUCGCCCGGUAGGGGGCGAGGUAUUUCCACUGUCAGAAAACUAAAUUUUUGUCGUCCUUCGAGGACCAUCUUUACUGACUGAGACCAUGAGAAAUAGUUGUUGCUAUUCAAAUUUUCUCCUGAAAGAUGAUACAUGGAAGACUGAGUCACCGUAUUAGUCACAUAAGGAGAGGAUACAUUAGGGAACGAGUUUACCGGAUUCUCAGAAUACAUCGGUAGAGUGGAUGUCGUCCCUAAGGUAGCCUCAAGUGCUGCUAUCUGUUGUCGAAGCCCUUCCAAUUGUUGAUGAACUAUUCCCGAGGAAGCUUGCACGUUACGGUUGGAAUAUGCCGAAGAUUCACCAACCUCAAAUGUUGAGUGAAUUUGAGAGUUUUUAACAUCGGGAUGGUAGCUAGGAUCAUUGGGUGGCUGGCCAUACAGAUUUGACGACAGAAGCGGUGGUAGCCGAUUGGAAUUAGAUGGCAGAACAUAAAUCGGGGCGUGGGGAGCAAUAUAGGCCGCGGACGAAGAAAAGGGUUGGACAGAUGGGAUGGUCGGCGCCGUCUGAGGAAGAAAACCAGGCGCGUGGUGGUCCGGCGGCGGCGCGUGGUGGUCCGGCGGCGGCGCGUGGUGUUCUGGUGGCGGCGCGUGGUGGUCCGGUGACGGCGCGUGGUGGUCCGGUGACGGCGCGGACGACUGCGGUAAUGACGAAAAAUUAUUUCGGACGUUUUCUGUAGCCGGCUUAAUAAUUCGUCCAUGGCAGCACUCAUCCGAGCAUCAAUGGCAGCAGCUACGGCAGCACUAAAAUUGAUGGUUGUCCCUUCUGUUUGAUUUUCAUAAGUGGUUUGGUUUUGUUGGGUUUCUAGGGUGUUUUCAUUGUCCCGCUCUGAUACCAUAUUGAAAAGAGAGACAACGAGUUCACACCAAUUUACGUGGAAACCCGAGUACCGGGAGAAAAACCACGAUUGUUUGUGUUGUUAUUAUUUUCUAAUGAAUAAAGAAAUAGGUACAAGGAGAAUAAAUAGAGUACACAAUGGAAUAAAAAAGGAAAAGAUUUAGGAAAAUAAGGAAUACAUUCCCAUAAUCUUUCCAUAAUUAUUCUAGGAUUCUAACAAGGAAAAAGCCUAGAAAAAAAGGAAAGAAUUCCAACAAAUAUUAAUAUAAUAAUAAUGAGACAAAAGCUCAUAAUACAAAAAGAAUUAUACAAUGAGCAUGUAAGCAUGGAUCGGGGGUGCACCUGGACAUCUCAACUAGGUUGACACCCCCUUAACACCCUCAUCAUAUCCAACCAAGCUAAAACCGUAAUAAAGGAGUAAUGGCUAAAGGCAAAACAAACACAAAAGAAGUACAGGGAAAUACAAAUACAAAUACAAGACUAAACAUCCUUCUAGAUAAAAGGCGACCAAAAACUUGCACCAAGACAAACUCGAGAUCAUAGGAGAAGAACACUAUGAGGAGGCUGAAAAGAGGAAGACUUUUACAGAUUAGAUUGGUUUUUAGAAAGAUGAUCCUUUUUGUAGGGCUGCUUUUUCACAUUCUGUAUUGGUGGGCAGAAAAAAGACUUCAAUCAUAUCUUUUUGAAUCAUGACUUUGUUUGGUUAGUUUGGAGUUGUUUCUAUGAGGUGUUUGACUUUCCUUUUGCUAGACAUAUCCUGUGUUUUAGAAAGCCUCCUAGGCGCAUGCAUAGUGCCUCGCCUUGCACACAAGUGCAUCAGAUGUGGUGCUUUCAGUGAAGCCCUACGGCCCAAUGUCCUAGGCAUUGGGUUUUUUUUCAUUAUUUUAAAAAAGUAAUUAUUAGGGUUUUUUCCUUCCAUAUUAAUUAUAAAUAAUAAAAUUUGCUUGGCCUAAAUGGAAUAUUUUUUUUCCUAUGGUUACUUUUAUUUUUUUUCUUUUAUAUUCCCAAUUCAACUAUCCUCUUUUUUAUCUUGUAUUUUUAUAUUAUCUUGUAUUAAUAUAGAGAGACUGCACCUUAAAAAAAAAACCCACAUUUUUUUUCCGCCUUGCACUUAAGCCCUAAAAGACUAUUUGUGCUUUAUUAUGCCUUGAGCAUUGAAAAACAUUAGACACAGAGAUCACGGAGAUGAUUGAGGAGUUUCUUCUUCAUCUGUCCUCUAGGUUGUAAUUUAUUUGACUGGAGUUUCUUUCUUUAAUUGGAUUCACUUGUGUGAGCUUUGAUUUUUUUGGUCUUUCCUUAUAUAAUUAUUUUUUUCUCAAUGUAAGUCUUGUUCUUUUUUCUUGGUCUUCAAUGAAUUUUUGUGUAUUUGAAUUAAAUGUGUUAGCAUUGUUGAAUUCUUUGUUUUCUUUGAACAAUCACUUUUAACUGACUUUGUGAAUUCCUUUACUGUAGAACAAACUCAGAGUAUAUCUUGCACCAUUUCUGUAUGGCAUGCACUACUCCUCCUUUGGUCGUCAUUUUACAAAAGUUGAGAAACUUGUGGAGGUAUACUUGUUUUUGCAGCAAUGUUUUCUUCGAUUUAAGAGUACUUUGGUUGUCUUAUCUUUUUAAUUAUGGAAGCAUGGUCAUGAUAUGUUUAUACUGGGUACUUCAAGGAACUUGUUUGGUGACAACAAGAUUGUAUUGGGGCAAAGUAUCAAAAAUCCAUUGUCGAAGCAUGAUGUGUACUACUGCACAUCGGACUCCCAACGAUAAGCCAGAAUUCAAGUAGUACAACCUUAAUUGAACUUGAGAUUUAAGACAUAUGAGAAAUCCAAACUUCUCUCUUUAUGUAGUUCAUUAAAUAAACAUAAACUGCUCUAAGUUCUCUUCUUCCUCCUCUCCUCUCCCCUCCUCCACCCCUCCUUCCGAUCUCCCCUCUCCGACAGCCAGGUUUUUUAAGCAGUCCUCUCUGUUAAGUCUCAGAGAUCACAUGGAGGUGGUUAGCUGGAAAUUGACCAGUCACACUAUUGCAUUUGACAUGAAGGAGAUUGUUGCUUCAUCAUGAAGAUGUAGAACCGGCAGAAGCAUCUCUCUAUCCGUUUUCGGAAUAUACACCAUCAAGCAUUCAGUUUCUGCCAAUAACCCAGAUCUUUUGGAAGUUUACAGCUUUAAAAUCCAGGUCCCUGAGAGUUUUUACAGGUCAGUAAAUAGCACUUCUCCUUCAAAGUGUCUCAACAUUUCAAAUUCCUCCACCUCCACUGCAAAAACAUCUUGUCAGCAAGGCUCCCCAUGCAAAGCUGAAUUAACUCCUAAAGACCAGCCGAAAAUUUUCUCACCUAUCAGUGUUAGUAGUGAAGAAUAAGUUGCUCUUAGUGAAGUUGACCCUAAAUUAGAUUAAAAAAUUGAAGGGACGGACUUAAAUGUUUUGUUUAAUGAGGAGGGUUUUGUCACAAAUAAUUUUCCUCCAGAUUUGCCUAAAGAGUUGAUGUCAAUAGUCAGUGAUUGUGGAAUUAUUCUGGUCUAAUUUAGAAGUGCAGCCAUCCCUAUCCUUCUCUCCGCCAUAAUGAAGAUUGUCUCAUGGGUCACUAGGGGCUUAAAUGAUUCCUCUUAAUGUGCAGCACUAAAAAAUUCAUCAUAAUCUGCAAUCCAGAUGUGUUCAUGAUUCAAGAGUCUAAAAGAUAGUUUGUAUUCUGUUUUCAUAAAAUCACUGUGGAGGUCCAAGGUUAGGCUAGAACAUCUGUUGCGCCAUUCUUGUCACAUUUCUUGCUGGGAAAGGAUUUUCUUUCUAGUGAGACCCUUUUAUCACAUUUUUUUUGUUUUGUCCCGUCUCUUAUUUUGGCUAGGAAAGGAUUUUGUCCUUGUUCAAUUUAGUUUGACUUUUGAUCGCUCUCUAGGCGCUAAUGUGGUUCAGCUGCUGUCGAGUCUGAUUUUUCCCAAAAAUCUCGCAUCAUUUGGAUAACUUUGUUAAAAGCUUUAUUUUCAGAAUUAUGGUUUGAGCGGAAUCAACAUUUCUUCCAUGAUAAAGCAAAGUCAAAGAGCAGAAAUUAUGUGUGCAGUAGAUCUUAGUGUUGCAGCUUGUGUUCAUUAGAAAAUGAAUCUGCUAAUUUUUCCAUUCAAGAUAUUUACCUCAAUUGGAAUGCCUUUCUUAAUCGAGCCUAACCAUUGCCGGUUCAUUUUCUCUCCAUUUGCAGUUCUUACUGUCUGAAGUUUGAAGCUUUGAAGUCUUGACCUUGUUUAAUUUUAUUUUGAGAUUGUAAUUGUUUUUUGGGGUUUCUUUUAAUUUUCUGUUUUUUUUUCUGGACUGGUAAUUGGCUGUUUGUUUGUUUUGUUUUGCUUUGAUAUUUACGUGAUAGAACACCAAGUAGUGUGUUCUACUAGUUUAUUUAUCAGCCAAACUUUUACAGAAAACAGAACUAACACAGAGUCUUGAAAACAAAGUACAACACAAGAACUAAUACAAAGUUCAACAUAAAACAACAAACAGUAAAGGAGUUCACGAUAAUGGAAAUAACUUGCUACAGACUACAGAAACUGAACACUUUCUGCAUUCCCUGCUCUCCAGGAAAUACAGCCCUCCACUUCCAGAAACUGACUAACCACCCCUCUCUUCCCUUCCUUCUUUCCCUUUUAACUCUCUCCCAUGUAAUUAACCAUGGUCCCCACCAAGGUGGUUUCCACUUCUUUCUCCAUUUCCCUUCUCUUGUUCACGUGCAACUGCCUCCUUUUUCCUCCUGCUAUAUUGUAAAAUAAUUGGUGUCUAUCAUCACUUUUUCGGGAUAGAUGAUUGACGCUGUGGGGUGUCGACCUAGUUGAUAUGUCCCUUUCUAUUUCUUCUUUAUUUGCUCUCUUUGUAUAAUUUUCUUGUACUUAGGGUUCUUAUUAAUAAAGAAGUUUUGUCUCGUUUCAAAAAAACAUGAAACUGCUCUCUCUCAGCAGUGUUUUCAAAGCGCAAGGGCACCUCAAGGUGAGAGGCGACAUAAAGGCAAUGCCUGAGCGAAGCGAGGUGCAAUGAAUGAAUAAAUAAAUAAAUAAUAUAUGAGGUAGAACAUAAGUUUAUAGACAAAUGUCAAAGCCUCAAAGAUUAAUAAUAGUUCUGUAAUCAAGAAAAAUGAACAAAAUCGAUUGUAUAAUUCUCUUGUACUUUCAGUUUGAGUUCUAUUUAAUAAAGAAGUUUGUCUCCAUUUCAAAAAAUAAAAAAUAAAAAUGAACAGAACUCUGUAAGUACAAGUUUAAAACACCAUCAAAUAUCAAAUCAUCAACAUCCCCAUCUAACUCUAUGGUUUCGUCCAUUGCUCCUCGCCAUUGUUCUCCUUGAUGUCUAAUUCCUCUUCAUCGUCGUCCUCAUCUUCAUUACUAACUACUUGUAUAAUUGGUGCUUGCUUUGAACUCUAGAAGUGGAGGGAGAGGUAGUUGACUUUCCUUUUGAUCUAGUGUACAUGAGGGUUCUCUAACGCCGCUAGCACGAGCUACAUCUCCCUAUGUGAGGUCGUUGUCAUAAAAAACUAGCUCAUUGUCAACUUCAGCUUCAUCAUUUUCUUCUCCAAUGUUUCGACCAACCAUUCAUUACUCUCGUCGAUAUGAUUUAAAGAGAUUGGAUCAAGUUGAUCCUUUAGAUUUUUUUGAAAAGGAAACAAACCUCAUUUAUUAAUAAUGAACAAUGAAACUAAAUCUUAUAGUAUAAGAGGAUUAUACGAUGAGCAUUCAAACCAAGGAUAAGGAUGUGCAUUUGAGCAUCCCAGCUAAGUUGACACCCUCUUAGUAUCCUUAUCAUAUCCUACAUAAUAAAAAGAUAGAACAACUAAUAACGUCCAAGUGCAGGACUAACCACAACCAAUACAACUCAAAAAGGACAUAAGAAACAACUUCUAACCAGACUAGGAAUUAAAAAUACAGCCAGACAAAGAAAGAUUCUGAAACGGUUGGAAACACCAGAGGCUGUGAGCCAAAUCUGAAUCAUCAACAAGGAGGAAAGUUAAAAGGCUGCCAGUUUAGUAAGAUAUAUUGCAUAGAGAAGUCUUUAAAUUGUUUUCGUAGAGAGCAUCACAAAGAGGCAUUCAGACGUGCGCACUCGUAUCUAUUGAACCAAGAGGAGGCUUUAUUGUGGAAGACUCGCAGAUUUCUCUCAAACCACAGUUCCAACAAAAUUUCCUUGACGGUAUUGCACCAAAGCAAGGAGGCAUUUUUUCAUCAUAACCGGACCAAGAAGUAACUGUCUAACAUUAUUCUUGCAUUCUUUAUCAAGGUCUCAGCUGAGAUUAAAGGUGUGAAAGAGUUUACUCCUACACUUGGCAGCAUAUACACAUUCAAACAAGUGCUGGAGUUCCGCAUGAAAUUUGAGAUAGAAUGGGCAUAUAUGUGGCGAAAUAUAAUGAGUGGGUAACUUCUUUUGCAUAAUGGAUGCACAAAUUGAACUCCUGAACAACAUAAUCGAUAGAGUUAUACUUACCCUCGGGCUUUUAGAUUUCUGAAGGCUUUUUUCCAACUGUAGGUCCAUCGGAGUGGCAGGAGACAAGUGCUUCGAUAAUGACUUUACUGAAAAAACCCCAUUAGUUUCCAUUAACCAGAUUCUUUUAUUCUCAAUAUUGGAUAAUCUUGUCCUUUCCAAGGAGCCCAGGAGAAGUUGAAAAUUAGAGAUUUCAAGCUCCUAACAAUCUUCUGAAAUCAAGAAACCCAGAGGAAGUGGAGGCGUUCCAAUGUUCUACAACCGAGCCUUUUGGAUUAAGGGCAAUUCUGUACAGCUUGGGAGUGUGGUCUUCAAAGCAAUUCUAUCCAUUCAUGGAUCCAACCAAAACAAAAUUUUGUCACCCUUUCCAACUUUAAAAGCUGCCACACUAUCUAGAAAUAUUUAUCCAAGGGCUUCUUAAACUUGAAUUUUCUUUGCCACUUGUGUGCCACUGGAAGAGGCUACUCCCGUGAAUACUACAAACCACCUUAUACCAUAGAGAGUUUUGUUCUGCCAUGAACCUCCACCUCCACUUGGCAAGAAGAGUAAUGUUUCUAAAUUUCAGCUUGUCCAGCCCAAGGCCCCCAUCUCCUUGGGGUUUGGAAACUAAUUCCCAUUUCACUAGGUGGUUCAACUUGCUACCGUUGUUCCCUUCUCAAAAGAAGUUCCUCCAUGGUUCUUUCAAUGGAAUUAGAGAUUUUUUUGGCAUGAGGAAUGUUUAGCAAUUCCUCAUGGAUGCCGCUAAGGAGAUCUUACUUUCCCCAAUAUUAAUUCCGCAUAUAGAUGACUUUUCCCAAUUUAUCUUUUGCCCAUAACACUAAAAUAUUUCAAGCGUCUUUUUAACGUUUUCAUGAAUAACUUCAUCAAACUUGGAAAAUAUUAAGGUGUUGUCUGCAAAUUGAAGGAGGGGAACAUGAACAUUGUUCUUUCCUACCAUGAAACCUUCAUACAAACCGUUCAAGUGUAGAUUUGAGAUGAAACUACUAAGCACUUCGCUAACCAGAAGAAAAGAAAGAGGGAAAGGGGAUCCCCUUGCUUUAACCCUCUUGAGGCUUGAAUUCUUCCUCUGGGCCUCCCAUUGACGAAUUCUGAAUACUUAGGGUUUUUAACACAAUCCAUGAUCAAUCCAGCACACAAGCAGCAGAGACAGCGGAGUUUGAAGGCGUUUUCGGAGGCAGUGUCUGUUCCUAACAGAGAAAACUAGGGUUUUCACGACUAUGUCUUGCUUGGAUAUACAGCAAGUUCUCAAUGAUUACAAAACCAAAGACCCACUCACCAUCACUACUCUCAAGCUCAAUCAAAAGGCUCUUUCUGAUAUAAAUGGUUUGUCCCUUUUCAAAAACUUGGAGAAGCUUGAUUUGACAUUCAACAAUCUCACAUCGCUUCAGGGGUUGGAGUCAUGCACCAAUUUGAAGUGGCUCUCAGUUGUACAAAACAAACUUGAUAACUUAAAAGGAAUUGAAGGGCUUUCUAGACUUAAUGUAUUAAAUGCGGGAAAGAAUAAGCUUCGGUCAAUGGACGAAAUUAGACCCCUUGUUGGCUUUUGUGCUUUGAUUUUGAAUGACAAUGAGAUUGCUUCUAUUUGCAAGCUUGAUCAGAUGAAGAACCUGAAUACUCUGGUUCUUUCUAGAAAUCCAAUCCACAGUAUUGGAGAUUCUCUGUUGAAAGUGAAUUCAAUGAAAAAGCUAUCCCUUUCUAACUGCAAACAUCAAUCUAUUGAAUCCCUCAAGUUUUGUAUCGAACUUAAAGAGCUUAGACUUGCUCACAAUGAAAUCAGGAUGCUCCCCAAUGCUUUGGCUCAUAACAAGAAGUUGUUGAAUUUGGAUUUGGGAAAUAAUGUCAUCAUGAGAUGGUCAGAUUUAAAGGUAUUGAGUUCAUUAGGCUAUCUGAGGAAUAUUUAUGUUCGAGGGAAUCCUAUUGCUGAAAGUGCUAAGUUAGAUAAAAAGAUUUGUCGACUGGUUCCAGGCUUGCGUGUAUUGAAUGCGAGAUCAAUUGAUAAAUGCAUUCAGAAUGAGAAUGAUAAUGGGAGUGAUAAAGAAGACGACACUCCAAUCAGGAGCCUAGAUCGUCAAAAAGAGAAAAAGGAUAGAAAACUGAAUGGGAAUGUUGAAACACACCCGUCUGUUCAAGGCACUGAUGGCAAACUUGAUCAUACUAAUGGUGCUGAUGUGGACAGGAAGUUGGAACGCAAAAAACGUAAGAUGGAUAAGGUCACCAGGGAGGAGAAAGUAAUUCCAUCUCUUGACAAUAAGAUAAAUCUCGGUACCAAUGAUAUUGAUAAGGAAAAGAAGACUUCAAAGCAGAAAAGAACAAAAAGCAAUAAGGAGCCAUCUUUGCCAAUACACAAGGAGACACUUACCAAGAUUGAAAACCAUAAGAAGAAAGCAAAGAAGGAAGGGGAAAGGCAGAUUGGUGUUAUUGACGACGCUGAAGUGCCAUUUGAACAGCUUUUCGGAGAUGAUCUUAUUGAAGACAUGGAUGCUGUUCUCCAAAAGGUUGGUGAGAAAGAAGUAGAGGAGAUGAAUUUAAAGCCUAACUUGGCAUCAUUUUCAGCUAAUAGAAAGGAAUCUAAAAGCCAAGAUCGAGUUGGAAGGUUACAAAUAUCCCCAAUAGUUGAAAUUGGAAUGGACGGAAUAUCAACAUGGGGGGAUGAGUAAUUGCAAUGCAAAGGCAUUCAGUUACUUGGGAAAAUUUGGAUCAAUCAUGGCAGCACCGUGGUCGGACAGGUGUGGAAUGCAGUAAUAGAAAAAGAGAAUGGGUUUUAGAAACUCAUUUCAGUUGUUGGUCUUGCAAUGAGCUAUGAAGCGUAAGCUACUGUUGUUGGGAGACUUGACUUUUGAUUUGGGGGAGUUCAUGAGAUGGAGGAUUUUUACUUUUCUGACUUAAACAAGUGACAUGCCAAAAGAUUUUGUAGCUUGUUGGUACCUGGGCAAGUUCUAAUUUGAAACUUACAUAUUUCUUCUUCAACAGCCUUAAAAUAGUGCAUAAUUAGAACUGUUAAUGCCUAAAUUGAAACAGAGGUGUUGGGGUAUAUUAUUUCAGUUUUUAUAUUAUUUCUAUAAUAGAGUUUGCCUUGUGUCUCUUAAAAAAAAAACAACACAAUCCAUGAUCGAAGAGAUGAUCCAUCAAUGAUUGAAAUUUUUCUGCUUCAAAAUUCUUUCCAAGAAACCCCAAUCAACUCGAUCAAAUGCCUCUCCAAGGUCCAGUUUGUAAUCCAUCCUUGCUUUUUUUGGACCUAUAAUACUCCACAACUUUAUUUGCAAUAAGUACAGGAUCCAGAAUUUGGCGGCCAUCCAAAAAGGCACUUUGAGUGAGAGCUCUAAUACUGGGCAUAAUUAUCUUCAUUCUUUCAGCAAGCACUUUUGCAAUCAAUUUGUACAGCAAAGUAGUGAAACUUAUGGGCCGGAAAUCAAUUACCUUUACUGCAUCUUCCUUUUUCUUGAUCAAGCAAAUAAAUUUCUCCUUUACAUGCAUUUAGUUUCCCAGUCCCAUAGAACUCAUUGAAUAAUUUACAAAGAUUUUCCUUGAGGAGAUCCCAAAAUUUGAUGAAGAAUUCUACUGUGAAGCUAUCCGGACCUGGAGCCUCUGUUUCUUCCCAUUGAUUUUAAUGCUGCCCUGAUCUCCACCAAACUAAAUUUUGAAAUAAGCCUUUUAUUUUGAUCUGCUGAAACUACAGACCAAUAAAAAACGGAGGUGUGAGGAGAUUUCUCAUAGAGGGUGCUGUAGAAAUCAAGUAUUAAAUGCUCAAUUUCAAAGAAUAAAGUGGUUGGGUUUCCUUGAUUAUUAACAAGCUUCGGAAUUAGACUUCUUUUUUUUUUUUUUCCCCCGAUGAGAACGAUGGAAGAAACUCAUAUUUUUGUUCCCCAAUUUCAGCCAAGUCAACUUAGUUUUCUGGAUUAUAUCUCUUUCCUCCCUUCUACAAAGAGCUAGAAGAUCCACUCUCUUAUUAACAAUAAGUGAUCCACUGUGCACGUAUCCGGUUGAUCAUAUUUUUUCUCUUCUAGUGCGAUGGCUUUUAAUAAGGUUUCUUCAUGACUUUUCUGUUUUCUUUCAUAAUCUGAAUGCCAUGAUUUGAGUUGACCCUUAAUGUUUUGGAGUUGAGUUGAUAAGGCAAAGCCCAUCCAGCCCGGAGGAGUGCUUGUGGUUAAUGAAUUUUCAAUAAAUUGGCAGCAAUGCUUGUCUAGCAACCAGCUGUUGCAAAAUCGAAAAGGGGAAGGCUCCCACUCGAAUGCCCCUGCUUCUAAUAAAAAGGGAAGUGGUUUGAGGAGAUCCUUACUUGACGAGUUACACGUGUGUUCGCAAAAGCCUUGUCCCGGUCAAAAGUAACUAAAAAUCUGUCAAGCAAUGAUCUCAAAACUACUCUUCCUUCUCUUGACCAUGUUAAUUUUCUGUUCAGUAAAAUAACUUCAAUGAGUUUCCAUUCUUCAAUGAAUUUAUUGAAUUUCCUCAUUCAUGCCACAAGUCAUUCUACUUGCUGGAAAUCGCUCCCCUUUGAUUUGGUCAUAUUAAAAUCCCCUCCCAAACACCAAGCUUCUAUACAAUAACCAAUGAGGGAGAGCAGCUCUGACCAAAUGAAUUUUCUCUCUGUAAUCAGUAGGUCCAUAAAUAUUGGUUACCCAACACAACUUAUUGCACAUUGUUCUGCAUUUAACUGACAGUGAGUGGCCCCUUUCAAUACUUCAAUAAAAGAAAAUUUACUUUCAUCUCACUUGGUUAACAUUCUUCCUGAUUUUCCAUGAGCUUCAAGAAAGAUCCAUCCAGUUCCUUUUGAUCUCCAAGUGGAUUGAAAACAAAGUAUUGACCCAUUCCAAUCUUGAAAGAAAUAUGGGAAAAAGGAAGAUGACAAUAGGCAGUAGCUUAUAAUCCUUUUCCGUGGGAUAUAUGAGGAAGACUUGACACUGAGAAUAGGCUUUUGGUUGGAAAUGUGAGGAGCUAUAAUAAGCUGUGAGCACCUUCCACCCAACAGAGAACUUUUGCUUGUAAUAUCUUUGAAUCCACUUGGUCAAAAGGGCCUUAGUAUCUCUCCACCUGGCUGCUGUUAGCUUGCACUGCUAUUUGGAUUCUUGGUUGUGGCCUCUUGAUCCUACUUCUGGUUUUACUGUUAGAUCCCUUAUAGCUGACUUAGUGGGCACGGUUGAUCCAUUAUUGUCUGAUUUUUGUUCUGUGAUUUGGAAAGAUAGAUUUUCCUAAAACGAUGAAAAUUUUUCUUUAAGAUCUUAGUUGGGGUGCCAUCAAUACUGCUGAUUGUCUUCCACGUUGCAUGCUUUAUAUGUCUAUUUCUCCUUCUUGGUGUCACAUGUGUUGCUGCUACGCUGAAUCUUCGAUCCAUUUGUUUUUCCAUUUUCCUCUUGCUGCCAAUUUUUGGGAUAUUCUUUUUAGGCUUUUUGAUGGUCUUAUACGUGUCUUAAUAACAUUUUGGACACAUUGGCUUCUCUUCUGGUGGGUCAACCCUUUGGUGGUACAAAGAUGACACUUUGGUUGACAUGCGGCGUUCUUUUGGUAUCUGUGGGGUGAAAGGAAUAAGUGGCUUUUUCAUGAUUCUUCUUCCUUGUUCAAAUAUUUUAUGGAAUUUGUUCUGUCUAUUUCUUUUCCUUGGUGUAAAGCUAAGCCCCCCUCUCUCUAUAGAUAAUCUAUUUUAGUUAACAAUUGGACAUCCUUCUCUUCUAUAAGUUCCUUUAGGUGUUUGGGGUUUUCCCCAGAUUUCAUUUAUAAAUGAAAUGUUUUUUUUACAAUUGGACUUCUCUUCUGUACUGGGUAUCACCCGAACCCCCUUGCAAAAUUAGUUUCUUCACAUUAUCCCUCUUCACAAAGUGGGAGGAGGCAUUUAUGAAUAUUUCUAAAGUGAAUACUUCUUUGAUGUCCUGACUUAUUAAAAGUGUAUUGAAUUUUCAGAUCGCAAAGAACAUGGAAGUGUUUAUAUGGUCCUGAGAUUAUAAGAGUCUUAAUAAUCAGGAUAGGCUUCAGAAUUUGAUGAGGUUUAACCUUUUUGCCUGUUCAUAUGCAGUUUGUAUAUGGAAAAGGAGGACAAUAUUUAUCACCUUUUUCCUCAUUGCUUCUUUGCUUCCAAGGGAAGAAGCUUUCUGCUUAGUACCUUCAGAUUUCCGCUUGUCUUUCUAAUUCUAAUCAUAUUGAUGACUGGCUUUCUCAAGUGAAGUUGAAGUCCUUUGGGGUAUGCUGUCGGGGCAUUCCUUUAGUUGCGUUGGCUUGAAAGUAACUUUAAACUUUCUGAUAUAACUUCUUUUGGUGGAAAUUUACAACUCAUCUCCUUGUGGUGGGCUCAUAGUUAUAGCCAAUUCUUUUGCAAUUAUCCAAUUUCUUUGCAUCACAACAAUUGGUCAAAUUUUCUGCAAUUAGUUUUUUUGGGAUGGGGUUCACUUUUCACCGUCCCUAAGCUGUUUCUACUUCGCUUUUGUCUGAUGAUGUCUCUUAUAAAACAUCAAUGUGUGAGUGUGAUGGAAAUUGUUAGCAGCCGGUCUUUUUUGCUGUCCAGACAUAUGGACGUGUUUUCUCCAUUAUUUUUCCUGUUUAAUUUUUUCUCGCUCUCAUUAUUUUUUCCAUUUCAUAGUCCUUGUAAAUACUAAAAUGUCUUCUGCAAUGCAGAUUGUUGAUAGGCUUCAUUGGUACAUAGAGAAAGGCAAUACAGUAAGUCCAUUAUGUUGAUUUGUUUGAUUUUUAUUAUAUUGAGCAGAAUUCGUUAUUUAUUUUUCUUAGUGCAACAUUUUCUUUCAAUGCAUUUCAUUGUUAGGAGGCUAUCUGUUACCUUAAAUAUUCUUUAGAUUCAUUAUGCACUCCACAAUCUCACAAAAAGUACAAGCCUCGUAUGUUAUCCUUUUGAACUCCUAUGAUUGUGAAAGUUGAGAGAUGUUUACAAUCAUGGAACCACUCGGGGGAGGGGGGGGGGUUCAUCUAACUCUUCUACAAGCAACCCUUUCAAACUCCCCACGUCCUACUUAUCCUUAUUUACAAAAAGAAAGGUAUCGUCUAUGAUUGCAGGAUUGAAAGAUUUUAGAAUAAAAAAUAGAAGCCAUGUUAGAUAUUCUCUUCGAAUUGUGCUCAGGGCAGCAAGUUAAUUGGGAGAAGUAAGCAUUAUAUGGAGGCAAUAUUGAUGAGGCUACAUUGAUCUCUACUUCUUCAAGGCUGAAUUGGGAGGCUGGUAAUUGCCUUUAUAUAUCUUGGCUUACCUCUUGGUGGUUAUUCUAAACAGCAGUCUUUUUGGCAGCCUGUUAUAGAUAAAGUCCAUUUGAAACUCGAUAAAUGGAAAAGGGUAUAACUUGUCCAGAGGGGCCGUUUAACUUUUUUUUUUUUUAAGAUAAGAAACAUUUCAUUGAUAAAAUGAAACAGGGGAAACCCAAACUCCUAAAGGUGAUUAAAAAAAUAUAGCCAAUUAGAAAAGAGAAAGGAGAGACUAUAGUUCUUAAAAGGGUGCCCAUUUUUGUACCAAUAAAAAGCAGUAGAUAAAAUGGUGUCCAAAAAAGAAGUACAAGAGGCAGUAGAGUCCUGAAACAGCCUCCUAUUGUGCUCAGUCCAUAAAGUCUAGGAGAAGGCACGAACAAUAGCCAACCAAAUUGUCUUUUUACAUCCCACAAAAAGGUGACCCACCAAGAAGUUUUUAUUGGAAAGAGAGAUCGACCAACCAAAAAGCAUCCCAGAUGAUGUGCCAAAACUGAGUAGCAAAGGAACGGUGCGCAAAUUGGUGAGAGGCAGAUUCCGCAGCAGUUUGACACACAACAUACCAAGUAGGAGAAAAAGACAUAUACGACAUUUGGCGUUGGAGGCAAUCAGCAGUAUUAAUGGCACCGUGACUAAGUUCCCAGAAUAAUUUAAUUUUCUUUGGGUAGUGAUCAGACCGAAUAAUAGAAUAAAGAUUUCUGGUAGAGGACCUAUUGAACAAGUUAAAUCAUCAAUUAGGGAUUUAACAGUAAAAGAAGCAGAGGAAUCAAUGACCCGUUAAACUUUAUGUAAUUCAGUUUUGGCCAACCUACCAACUUAUAAUAUGUCCUUAUUCCAAAUGCCUUUCUUGGUGAUACAAGAAUUGGAGACUUUUAUGUAACUUCUUUUGGGAAGGUCAAAAAGACAACAAGCUGAAUCCUUUGGUUAAACAGGAGUUAGCUUCGAAAGCUCUAAAAGAUGGUGGUCUAGGGAUUGGAAAUGAAAACAGAAAUACAGCUUUAUUGUUUAAAUGGAGUUGGAGAAUCCUUAAGGAGCAGGACUCUUUAUGGUGCAAAAUUGUUAGAAGUAUUCAUGGAGUUGAUCCAAAUCUUUGGUGCACUUCGGGUAAGCUUGGUUUAGGUUUGAAAAGUCCAUGGAUCAGCAUUUCAAGUUGCAAAGUUUAAGCUUGGUAAUGGGAGGAAUAUAUUCCUUUGUACAGAUUCAUGGUGUACUGUCUUCUCCUUUGGAUGGUCUACUCCUAUUCCCAAUGAUAUUUGGGCCUACUCACUCUAACAUAUCCUUUUCAAUGAAUAAAAAGGGAUUAUGUGGACACAUAUGAUUCAUGCUUAUGGAUUACAUAGAAGAAGAGAAUGGACUGCUUCUUCAACGAUGUUUUUUGUAGUUCUUCCUCCACAGGGAUGUUUGUUGUAGCUCUUGAUUUCAAUCCCCACCCUAAGGUCAUUUCAAUUAUCAUGCUACAGUGAUGAGCAACAAGUAGAUUGACCUUCAACAAUACCAUUUGCCAAUAGGUUUGCCAUAAUGCUCUAACAAUAAAGUUUAUCAAGAAAUUAAAAUUUCGAGAUGAGCAACCUUGCUCUGAUACCAAUUUUUGGAUCGGUAUGGCAACCCUAGAGGGGGGUGAAUAGGGUUUAAAUAAAACUUUUUUGACAAAAAAAGUAAAAUCAACUAAUUAGAUACUUUUUAAAUUUAAAUAAAGAACUUUGUAAACUUUGUUAAAUAACAAGAUUGAUAAAAAUAUAUGAAUGGAAGUAUGCAAUCAAACUCAACCAAUAAGAGUAUGUAACUAAAAUUAAAUUAAAAAAUAAUUAGAAAAGAGUUAGAGAAGAAGACACCGUAAUUUUAUAGUGGUUCGGUUAAACUCAACCUACAUCCACUUUCCCAAGCACCUCUUGGGAUUUUGAUUGAAAAUCUUCUUUGGACUCUUUCCACGGAUUUGAGCCGAACCGAUUCUUGCUCCUUUUUCGGGUUCAAGAGCAAACCCGAUCCUUUCCACGGGUUAGGAUCCAACCGUUACAAUAUGUUGAAGUUUUUAAAUCAUACAAAAGAAAACUCUCUAAAAGAGUGAGUAUAUAAUUUGAAGCUCACAAAUUUAAUCCUCACAAUACAAUAAGAAGCUCUCAAGAAUAAGAUGAAAAGAAUAAAAAUUGGAAGCUUUAGAGAGAAUAACAAUGUUGGCUUUUUGCUUGAGGAUUGUAAAGAUGUUGUGAUCUUGUGUAAAUGUGAAGUAUUUAAAAAGAGAGGAAAGAUAAAUUCAAAAUCGUUUGGGUCAUUAGAUAUAAGUAAAAGAAAAAUGAAUGGUUGAGAUUUAAACUUAAUUAGUCGUUAGACACAAUACAAAUAAUAAUAUAAUAAUAUGUCUUUUCAAAAUACUUUGUUUAAAAAGAAAUCAAUAAAGCAACUUCACCAUCUUUUAAAACAACUAGCCGUUAGACACAAGAAAAAAUAAUAAUAUUAAAAUCAUUUUCUUUUUAAAUUCAUUUUCCUUAUAAAAGCCAAUAAAACAUAACAAAAAGCCACAUUUGUUACUCCUUCAUUGCUCCAAGUGGCUUUCUCUAAUUGGUUCAAAUUGAAUGCUUGGUCGCCACGUCACCAUCUCGGGUAUUUUUUUGUUAACCUUCUUUUAGCAAUAUUUUCUUCAUUUGAACUUCGAUUUGGGUGAUUCAAGAGGCGUUAGAAUCAUUUUUCCAAGCUCUACGAUAUGGCUAUUCAAAUUAAUAAAAUUGUCAAUAAAAAAUUUAGAUUUGUUAUCAUCAAAACAUAAAUUAAUUGAAUAAUUAAAAUAAAUAAAUUUGAGAUUAAGGGCCAAAAAGCCAACAAUCUCCCCCUUUUUGAUGAUGACAAAUCAUUGAAGAAAAAUAACUUGAAACACACAUGAUCAACAAGUAAUUCUAUUAUCAAGAUGCAUCCCAACGAAUAAUUCCAAGCUCAAGCCUAUUUUUACAAAAGCUUUCUUCACUCAAAGGCUUGGUAAAUAUAUCCGCUAAUUGAUUAUUGGAGCUUACAAACUCAAGAGUAAUAUGACCAUUUUGUACAUGCUCUCUAAUAAAGUGAUGCCUAAUAUCUAUAUGCUUAGUUCUAGAAUGAUGAAUAGGAUUUUUAGUCAAAUUUAUGGCACUAGUAUUAUCACAAAAUAUAGGCACAUUAUCAAAUUUUAAUCCAAAAUCACAAAGAGCUUGUUUCAUCCAAAGAAUUUGUGCACAACAACUAGCAACUGCAAUAUAUUCCGCUUCGGUAGUGGAUAAGGCAACCGAAUUUUGCUUUUUACUAAACCAAGAUACUAAGGAACUACCAAGAAAUUGACAAGUCCCACUAGUACUUUUACGGUCAAGUAAACUACCGGCAAAGUCCGCAUCGGAAUAUCCUACCAAAUUAAACUCAACAUUUCUAGGAUACCAUAAUCCAACAUCAAUAGUUCCAAGCAAAUAUUUAAGUAUCCUUUUAACGACUUGGAAAUGUGAUUCUUUAGGACAAGAUUGAAAUCUAGCACAAAGACAUAUACUAAACAUGAUAUCGGGUCUACUAGCGGUCAAAUAAAGUAAAGAUCCGAUCAUACCUCGAUAAGUCUUUAUAUCCACACACUUACCUUUUUCAUCUUUGUCAAGCUUUACUAGUAGAGGAAUAUCCUAGAAAAAUACCAACAUCCGUCUUAGAAUCAAAUUUUCCAAUUUGUUAUUCAAAAUAAAACAUUUACAACCGAAAACUUUGAAAUACCCAAUAUUUGGAAUUUUACCAUGCCAAAGUUCAUAAGGAGUUUUAUCUAAAGAGGGUCUAACUAAAACUCUAUUUGAAACAUAGCAAGCGGUGUGAACGGCUUCCGUCCAAAAAUAUUUAGGUAAACCAUACUCAUUCAACAUUGAUCUAGCAAAUUCUUGCAAAGUACGAUUUUUCCUUUCAACUACACCAUUUUGCUACUUCCUCUGCUCGAAAUGCAUCUAAAAAUUUUAGGGAUGCAUAUAAUCAUUGGACAAAGGCCAAUGACAAGGCCUGUGUGUAUCUCUUGUCUAGUAUGUCUGACAUACUAAGCAAGAAACACAAAACCAUGGUCAUUAGACGUCAGAUCAAGGAUUCGCUUCAAGAGAUAUUUAAGAAGAAUUAAAAAGAAAGUAAAUAUAAUUUACUUGCCUUAGAAACAUGUUUAGUGGAAAAUGACCAAAAUGUCUAGAUACUUGAUUUAGGAGCCACUAGUCAUGUUUGCUCUUCUUUACAUAAAACUAGUUCCUUUAAGCAGCUCGAGGAGGAUGAGAUACACUCAAAGUUAAAACGAGAGAUGCCAUUUCAGCUCGUGUAAUGGGAGAUGUUAAAUUUUAUUUUUAAAAUAGAUUCUUGUUUUUAAAAAACUUGUAUAUAGUUCCUAAGAUUAAAAGGAAUCUUAUAUUUAUUUCUUGUCUUAUUGAACAAUCAUAUAAUGUAACAUUUUUCUUUAAAUGAAGUGUUCAUUUCUAAGAAUGGUGUACACAUUUGUUCAGCUAAGCUUGAAGACAACUUUUGUAUGUAUUAAGACCUAACAAAGCGAAAGCAAUUUUAAAUCAUGAGAUGUUUAAAACUGCUAAUACUCAAAAUAAUACCUAUCUUUGGCAUUCAAGAUUAGGUCAUAUUAAUCUCGAUAGGAUCGGGAGAUUGGUAAAGAAUGGACUUCUAAAUGAGUUAGAAGAUGAUUCAUUGCCUCCAUGUGAAUCUUGUGUUGAAGAAAAGUUGACUAAAGAGACCUUUUACUAGAAAAUGCUAUGGAGCCAAAGAGCCCAUAGAACUUAUACAUUCAAACUACUAUGGUCCAAUGAAUGUAAAAGCUAGAGAAGGUUUUGAAUACUUCAUCUCUUUUAUAGAUGAUUAUUCAAGGUAUGAUUAUUUAUACUUGAUGAAACGUAAGUCUGAAGCUCUUGGAAAGUUCAAGAAGUAUAAGGCUGAAGUUAAAAAUCUAUCAAGUAAAAAAAUUAAAAUACUUUUAUCUGAUCGAGGUGGAGAGUAUAUGGAUUUGAGAUGAUAGAACAUGGAAUCUAAUUACAACUUUCAGCACCUGGUACACCUCAACAAAAUGGUAUAUUAGAAAUGAGAAAUAAAACCUUGUUAGACAUGGUUCGUUUAAUGAUGAGUCAUGCUCAAUUGCCUUGCUCGUUUUGGGGGUAUGCAGAUUGAACAAUGUUCCUCGAAAAGUGUUUCUAAAAUACCUUUCUGUAACGAUCCAACACUUUAUACUAAGGUGAGAUCAUUACCACUAAAACAAAUAAAGACUUUUUUUUUAAAUCAAAGAAAAUACUAAGUUUUAAAAAGAAACACUCAUAAAAUAUAAGUAAAGUAUAUAAUAAAAUAUUAGUUCGGAACCUAUUUAAAAAUAAAAAAAAUAUAUCUAAAAGUAAACAUGGGUUCUGAAAUAAAUUUAAUACUCAAAACAAAUGGAAGAAAACAUAAGAUGUUCCCUAUGACGAUCCACGGUCACUUCUUGCCAUUCGCGAGCUUGCCUUUACCUGCUCCUUUACCUGAAAAAUUAAACAUAGAAAAGGGUGAGUAUAAAUUUAUACUAAGUAAGAGACCCACUACUACUCCUGCUACGUGUCUGUUAACCUCUCGUUAUAGUCCUGUAAGGAAAUAUCGAAUAUCUAUUGUGCUCCCAAACGUACGCUAUCCAGUGAUCUUGUAGGAACACAUCUAGACUCUUGGUGAACCCGAAGGAGUCACCCUAAAGAAGUGUAAGUGAUCCUAUUGAUUCACAUAUAAAAGCUAAGCCACACAAACAUAAAUAGGUGGUGAUCCCGAGGGACACCCAUAUGAUACGACUCUAACAGGUAAAGCUAACACAACAUCAUAGUCUAUACAUAUAACAUAACAUAAAUAACAUAUCUCAAACAUGAUGUAUCUCAACCAUAGUAUAUCUCAUUCAUAACAUAUCGUGGUCAUCACAUAUCUUAGACAUACAUAACGAUUUUUUAUGUAGCUAUCAUUAUCUAACAUUCUUCACAGUCACAUCACAUGCAUCAUGGCUACGUUAAUGCAUUCUAAGGGAAAACAUAAUGUAAGGAUCUAAUAAUAAAACUUCUUACCUGGAGAUUAAUUAUCAACUAAUUCAGUCAUAAACAUAAACAAAAUUAAAAUUAUUAAUUUUGUCAACCAUCACCCAACUAUUUAAUUAAGCAUCAAAACUUCCAACUAUUUAAUUAAGCAUCCAAACUGACCCCCAAGAUUAAGGUUGAAUCAAACAAAACCUUGAAUGGAAAAUUUCGGAGUCUCAAAUCCUCAAAUUAACACUUGAACCUUCAAACAAAAAUAAUUUAACUCAUUCCAUUGUAAACUUAUUUAAGAUCCAAAAAAUAUUCAUUUGGGCAUACUAAACCAACACAGCUCAAGAGAUACCAAAAAGCAACUUGGCUUAAACUAAGGCAGAAAUGGCCCACGCGGCUCUGCAGGAGGAGAAUCGACUUGGCAGUCAGCUCGGGUGCACAACUCAUAAAAGGAGAAAGAAAUCGGCUGUGACAAGCGCGAUUUACGAAGGAGUAGAUAAGUGGCUCUGUGAUGCACAGAUCGACUUGCUCAAGCAAGGGUUCGUUUAACGAUUGCCGGCAAUGAGAUCUGGGUGGCACGAGACAGAACUUAACGACGGUAUGGCUUAAUGAAAACGUUCAAAAACUAGAUGAUUGAUGAAAUGAAAAGAGAGAGAUUCCUCGGCUUCACCUACAUGCAAACGUAGGAGGUGGGGGUGCAUAGUCGGCUUGUGCGACUUCGUCACUAAGGAACAAAGGAGGAAUGACGGUGUCAACAAACGACGAGCGGUGAUCCUUGCAACAGAGCACGAUGGCGGCUGGGGUUUGUGAAGAAUUAAGAAGAUGAUGAAGUUCCCUUUUUUGCACGUUUCACAAGGGUUAAUUAUAUAUAAUAAUAAUAAUGAUAUUUAUUAUUAUUAUCAUUAUUCCUUUUCUUUUGCUAAUUAACAAAUUAACCAAAAUCAAAUCAUACUUUCUCUCCUCGUUAAAUACCCAUCAAACCAAACUUUUUACUUUCCCCAAAAAUACAAUAUCUUUCCAAAUAAUUAGAUUUUCCACAAUAUAAUUAUUUUCUCUCUAAAAAAUAUCUUUCCUAAAAAAAAUCAAUAAUAUAUUAUUCUACCCUUCCAUAACUUAAUUAAUUAUAUACAUAUAUAAUUAACCAAUAAACUUAAAUCUCACCAAAAUUUUCAAUAGUAUAAUUAAUUAAAUAAUCUUCCACUGAACAUUCAAUUAAUCACAAUUUCCACAAUACUAAAAAAAUUAUAACACCCAAUUAAAUCCAUCAUAAAUUAAAUUAAACUAAGAUAAUUAAAAAAAAUAAAAUUACCUUCAUUUUUGGGUGUUACAGUUUUUGAAUUUAAAUAAUUUUUAGACGUAACCAGCCUUAAGGACAGCAUGUUGUACAAGUUAUCGACCCUACUGCACCUGUCACUCAUGCAUACCUUGCUGCCAUGGAGCAAAUGUACAUAGACUUAUUGUUCAAAGUAUUGGCACAGUGACAACCUACCUAGGAUAUCCAAACAACUCAUGUACGGACACCGGCUGCAAGUGUUUAGAUCCCAGUUGCGGGAGUUUAGGCCCCAAUUGUAGCAUAUAACCUACUUGAUAUGCUUUCAGCAGAAGCCAAACACCUGAGGGAUUUCAGGAAGUAUAACCCUCGGACUUUCGAUGGAUCCUUGGCAAACUCCACCAAGGCGCAGAUGUGGUUGAGUUCGGUGAAGACUAUCUUUUGUUACAUGAAGUGCUCCAAUGACCAGAAAGUUUAGUGCGUCAUGUUCUUACUGACUGAUAGAGACAGAGGCUAGUGGAAGUCCACAUAGAGGAUGUUGGGUGGAGAUAUGAGUCAGAUCACCUAAAAGUAGUUUAAGGAGAAUUUUCAUGCCAAAUUCUUCUUCGUGUCAAGAGUUCUUAAAGUUGGAGCAAGGCAAUAUGGCCAUAGAGGAGUAUGAUCAAGAAUUCGAUGUGUUAUCCCGAUUUGCACCUGAGUUAGUGAGAACUGAGACUGAGAGAGUUGACAAGUUUGUCAAAGGCAUUAAGUAGGAGAUCCAGGUUUCGUUAGAGUCUUUAGACUAGCUACCUAAGAUGAUGCAGUACACAUGACAGUGGAUUUGAGUUUGCAUGAGAGGAUAAAGAUGGCCAAGGCUGUAGAGAAUGGUCCAAUUGUAGGUAGAAAAGGAAGGCUUAGCAGUAGCCUACAGUAGCACCACAAAGGAAUUUGAGAUUAGGUGGUUUGUUCCAGCAGCUUAGACAGUAGGUUGUUGAGGCAGGCAAAACCUUGAAGGAAGUAUACAUGUGUUCUAAUUGUGAAAGGUCUCAUUCAGGUCAUUGCCUAAUAGGAAGUAGUAUAUGCUACAAGUGUAGGCAACCUGACAUAUAUAUAGCUGAUAAUUACCCUCAGAAAUAGUUUGAACCUAUCUCGAACUAGACUUCUACAUCUCGAUAGGGGUGAGUUUUGCCACUAAUCAACAGGAGCUGAGAAAGCUUACACAGUGGUGAUAGGUACACUCCUAAUCUUGGAGCACUUUGCUUUAUUAUUAUUUGACUCGGGGUCCUCUCAUUCUUUUAUAUCGCCAAUUUUUGUUCAACAUAUGAGUUUACAAGUAGAACCCUUGAGUUAUAUGUUAUUUGUCUCUACUCCAUCUGGAGAAAUUAUGUUGUCGAAAGGAAAGAUAAAAACAUGUUAAAUAGAAAUAGCAUAUCAUGUUUUAGAUGUAACUUUAUUAGUAUUACACAUGCAAGACUUUGAUGUAAUAUGGGGCAUGAAUUGGCUAUCUGCUAACCAUGCAAACAUAGAUUAUUCUCGCAAGGAGGUAGUUUUUAACCCUCAUGAGGCGACUAGUUUUAAAGUAUAAGGGGGCGGGGACUGUGGCCUACCCAAAGUUAUCUCAACCAUGAAGGCCAGUAAGUUGUUCAACCAAGGUACUUAGAGUAUCUUGGCUAGUGUUGUAGAUACCAGAGAGCCCGAUGUAUCCUUAUCAUCUGAAUGAAUGGUAAGGAAAUACCCCGAUGUUUUUUAGAAGAGCUUUCAAGACUUUCUCCUCACAAAGAGGUUGAUUUUGCUAUUGAACUGAAACCAGGCACUGGUCCCAUAUCGAGAGCUCCAUACAGAAUGGCUCCAGCUGAGCUGAAGAGUUGAAGGUCUAGUUGCUAGAAUUAUAGGACAAGGGCUUUAUUCGAUCUAGUAUGUCACCUUGGGGAGCACCACAAUUAUUUGUGAAGAAGAAAGAUGGGUUGAUGUGUCUUUGCAUUUACUAUAAAAAGCUUAAUAGGUGAUAGUCAAGAACAAAUAUUCAUUGCCCAGGAUUGAUGGCUUGUUUGAUCAGUUUUAGGAGCCACUGUGUUCUCUAAGAUCAAUUUACGAUCAGGAUAUCACCAGUUGAGGAUUAGAGACAGUGAUAUUCCAAGACUGCCUUUCCAGAUAUGGACAUUACGAGUUUAUUGUGAUGUCCUUUGGCUCGACAAAUGCUCCUGGUGUAUUUAUGGAUUUGAUGAAUAAGGUGGUGCUUAAGGAUUUCUUAGACACUUCUGUGAUAUUUUUUAUUGAUCACAUCUUGGUUUACUCCAAGACAGAGGCUGAGCAUGAGGAGUAUUUGCAUAAGGUAUUAGAGACUCUUCGAGCCAAUAGGCUAUAUGCCAAGUUUUCCAAGUGUGAGUUUUGACUGAAGCAAGUUUUGUUCCUUGGCCAUGUAGUGUCCAGUGAAGGAGUUAUUAUAGACCCAGCAAAGAUUAAAGUUGUUACCAUUUGGCCUCGACCUUGUACAGUCAGUGAAGUUUAAAGUUUUUUGGGUUUAAUAGGUUAUUACAGAAGGUUCGUGGAAGGCUUCUCUCGUAUAGCUAGUCCUUUGACCUAGCUAACCAGGAAGGGGAAUCCUUUUGUUUGGAGCCCAGCAUGUGAGAGCAGUUUCCAGGAUCUUAAACAGAAACUUGUUACUACACCAGUCCUUAUAGUGCCAGAUGGAUCUGGGAGUUAUGUGAUUUACAGCGAUGCCUCUAGAAAGGAUUGAGUUGUGUAUUGCUGCAAUAAGGUAAGGUGGUUGUUUAUGCCUCUCCUCAGUUGAAGAGCCAUGAGCAGAACUACCCUACACAUGAUUUAGAAUUUGGCAGCAAUAGGUUUUGCACUUAAGAUUUGGACAUUAUUUAUAUGGUGAGAAGAUUCAGAUCUUCAUUGACCAUAAGAGCUUGAAUUGGUUAAGGACUUAAAUAUGAGAUAAAUAUGAGAUAGCGCGGAUGGCUCGAGUUGGUCAAGGACUACGAUCAUGAGAUCGUGAGUUAGUAGGAAGGUAUCAUACUCUGUAGCACUCGUUACUAGUCAGGUUCCUUUGCACAUAGAUCUUGAGAAGCUAAGAUUGCAUUUUUAGUAGGAGAAGUCACCUCACAGUUAGCUCAGGUGUCAGUACAACCAACUUUGAGGCAGAGAAUUAUUAUUGCUCAGCUCACUGAUCCUUAUUUGGUUGAUAAGCGAUGCUUAACAGAAGUAGGGUAAGCUGAGGAGUUCUCUUUAUCCUCUGAUGAUGGACUCAUGUUCGAGAGACGGUUAUGUGUGCCAACAGACAGUGUAGUUAAGACAGAGUUGUUGGUUGAGGCCCAUAAUUCUCCCUUUCUAUGCAUCCAAAUAGUACAAAGAUGUAUAAAUAUUUAAAACAAGUUUACUGGUGGAAAAAUAUGAAGAGAGAAGUGCCAGACUUUGUCAAUAAGUCUCUAGUUUGCUAACAGGUGAAGACACUAAAACAGAAGCCAACAGGUUUUUUGCAACCCUUGAGUGUGCCAGAAUGGAAGUGGGAGAAUGUGUCUAUACACUAGUACAAAAGUGGUCUACGACGACAGUUAUUUACUGUCGCGAACGGAUUUCGCGACAGUUAUUUUCAGUCAUAGAAGCGGGAGUCAUGGAAAGGCCUUCGACGACAGUUUUUGAAAACUGUCGCAAUAGGUUAUUUUAUGACAUGAAAUAAAUGUCGUUAAUCAACAUUCAAUGACAUUCAAUAACUGUCAUAAUUUAUUUUAUGACAUUCAAUAACUAUCAUCAUUUCUUUAUUAACGACAGUUAAAUAAUUGUCACGAAUUCUAUUAUCGUGACAUGUAUUAAUUGUCAUGAAUAUUUUUUUCGCGACAGUUUUUUUUUGUAAAAAUGUCAUUGUUUAGUUAUUGACGACAUUUUUUUCCAGUCAACGAUUGUGCAAUCGUGACAGUUUUUCGAUAACAUUAAAUGUCAUUGUUUUGUCAUUGACGACAUUUUUUUCCAGUCAAAUAUAAUGUAAUCGUGACAGUUUUUUUUGAAAAAAAAUUGUCAUUGUUUAUCUUAUGACGACAUGUUAUUCCUGUCACAUAUAGAGCAAUCGUGACAAUUUAUUUCAUUAAAUAACUGUCAUCAUUAGCGAAUUUACAACAACUAUUAACUAUCACAUUUCUCAAUUUCCUAUAGUUUUAUCCUGUUCUCCAUGCAGCUCCACCAUUACACGAACCAUUAGAAUGACAAUAAUGUAGCUGAGAAUGACAAAUUUGAAAUUAUACAAGUUUCACACCAAUGUACAAGAAAAUAGCCAACACUUUAAUAUAUAUACACUAUAAUACGAUUUAUAAUAUUUGUACAUCUUAAUACAAGUUUCAGUAAUCCACAUGUACGAAAUACUAGCCCUUAAUCAAAAAAUAUCUUAAAUAACAUUCGAAUAUAUUUGACUGGACCAACCGAGAAUGUUCGUUUCUGGAAAUGAUAUUUGAAACAAAACUCAUGAACUUGUCGACUCCAGUUGAACCUACAAAGAAUCCAUAACACAUACGUACAGUCAAUGAAUAACUAAAUCAACGUCUCAACAAAAUACAGAACACAAACAAGAACUUCAACACUUGAUUCCAUGAAAUGAAAAGAGAAGACCAUGAGGACUAUAUUAGGCAAACACAGUAAACAAAAACAUACUGCUACUCUUUCUCUCUAGAAUACACAUACCAAAAACAUACCCAGCUCACUCUCCCAUUCUCUAUUCAUUUUACUACCCCACUCAUGGUGGUCCCUCUUCAAAUCUGAUAAUGAAAAUGAAGUUCCUAAGAAGAGGAGAAAGAGAUCAAGGAGAAGAAGAACGUCCAUUCUCUAGAUCUUUUUUUUAUUUCCAAACAGAAUAAACAACUUGAAACUUCAACCGAUACACAUCAUAAAAACUAGCAGCCUGAGUUCAAAUUUGCUAAAACCAGAAACAAAAGAGGGGAAAAAGAAAACAACAGAAAACAGUAGGAUCAACCAACAAUUCCAAAUAACCAAACCAAGCAGAAGAUCAAAGCAAUGAAAAAUCCAAGGAAAACUCAGAAACCAUAAGGCCAAAAGAGAGGAAAAACAUAAAUGAUAAGAGAAGAAAAGAAAAGGGUCAAAGAUUCAUAUAUAGAAAUGGAGAUAAGAGUGUUACCGUGAGUUAUUCCUUGGGAGGUGUGGACAUUUUGAACUUUAGCAGAAGAAUCUAAGCAGUUACCUAUUAAACUUCCAAUAAACUCACUCACAUUCCAAUAGUAUUUCACAAUGGCAAGAUGGCCUGGGAGGCAAUUUGGAAAGCAAAGGGAGAGAAUUAAGAAACAAGGGAGAGAGAGUUACCUCAGUUAAAAAAGAACUCUCACAUAACUCAAAGCUCAAUGUCUCAUCGAUUGUUAUCUUCAACUCUUUAAAAUCUACAAACAAAAUGAGAAUAACAUUAAAACUAAGAACUUUAACUUUUAAGUCUAGGAAUCAUGUCCUUGAAAUAGAAACAAAAUAGAAACUUGAAGUCUCUUUUUCUUCUUCCAUUCCUAGGCUCCAUCGUAAUGAAAGCAUGAAAUGUGUAAAAAAUGAAGGAAAUUCAAGCAUUGCAUAAAACUAUUUCACACAUUUACCAAUGUUAAUUUACCUUUUUAUUUAUUUCAACCAACCAUGUGGUGAACUCUGAUCGUUUGUUCUUAAAAAAAUAAAGUUACUCAGAUCAAAUUGAAGAAAUCAACAAGCAUUAUAGAAACUUUUUCACAGUAUAACAGAAAUCAAGAUCAAAAUAUGUAUUCUCAACUUGCCUAGAAUUAAUAUUGCUAAGCAAAAAGAAAACAUAUUUCGCUUUAGACCGAAAACAAAAUUGCUUUUAGUGAUAGAGAAGAAAACAAAUUUUGGGUUUGAGCAGUGAAGAAUGUCUUAAUCAUAAAAAAACAUACAAGUACGGAACAAGCCUUUCUACCUGCUGCUGGUAGUACUCUGCUACAUAAUCUUCAAGACUUGAAUACAUUCACCAAGAAAAGAGUGAGAGAAAAAGAUGCAUGAAGUUCCAAGCUUUUAAUUCUUUAUUUUCUUCCUCCAUUAACAAACCAAAAUCUAACUAUACUCUAUAUCAAUUCCAAAUUACAAAAUAAAGUAGUAUCUAUACAAAUAUAAACAUGUUUUUAUAAAGGCAAAAGAAAGAUAAAAUUUUUACUAGGAUCUAGGACCAUAAACUAGCCAACUCAAAGUAGAAACCCAAAAUAUUGGGGAACUACUACUUAACUCUCUAUACCACAACCAAUAAAUUUCAUAACAUAAAUAUGGAGAAAAAAAAAUACUAAAUUGUAAGAAUCAAUCGGUUCUAAGUAUGAAGUUACAUCCAGAAAUUACAUUCCUACAAAAUCAAACAACUAUAACUGUGCAACCCUUGGUUGGAUCAUAUUUGUCUCCCAACCUAAUUAGGCAAAAGAGAUUGAAUUAGGGGAAUAACAAAAGGAAAGAAAAUCUGGAAGUAAAAAACAAGAAGUACCAUUCUUCAUCCUUGUGAGAAAAGGCUUGUUUAUGUGUUGUAAUAUACUUUGACUUGUAUUCUUGAUAUCUAAAAUAAAAAAUGAAGUUCCACAUAACUAAAAAGAUCAACAUACAUGCUCUCAACUUCAACAACCAAUAUCUCAUCUUCUUCAAGUUCUUGCAAUAAAUGGUGUAUAUGUCAUCAAGCCUUCUCUGAAAUCACAAAUUAUCAACAUUGCAUUUAAAAUUAUAAAGUUAAAAGAACGAAGUUAGAAAACACAAUUCAAUAAAAUUAUGAGACAAAACAAUGCCAUACUCUCUAUUUACCAUAAGACCAACUCAUAACUAUUGUUUUUACAUAUUCAUACGAUGAAGGUUCUGCACAUAUGUGUAUAAAGAAAAGAAGAAUUCACAAGCAUUCAUCUAAGGUAAAAAGGUAAAGCCGGGACGUCCCCUAUUUGAAAUGAAGAUGAAGAAUAAAAGAACGAAGAAACAAAGUUGCAGCAAGUAAAUUGAGAAAGCGUACUAAAUCAAGAGUUGAAAGAGAUCUAACCUUCUCAAUACCUAGGCCGUUGAGAUUCAUUUAUACCGUUCCAAUCUCUUUGGCCUAAAUCAUAAACCAAAGAAUUUAAAACAAAUUUCACACCAUUCAAAUGAUAGAUCUCUUCAAACCCACAAUCAUGUUCAAAUUUAAAACAUCCAUGAUCACAAAUUCAAAGAAUUACAUCCUCUGGAUGAAAAAAAAACACCAAUAAAGUCAUAGCAAAAUACACUAUGGAAUUUAAAGCCGAGAACAAAAUUUUGGAAAGCUUUCUUUACCCAAACACUUUCUUCCUCCACAAGCCUUCACAAGCCUUCACCAAACUAACUACCAUCCUUUUUCGUUUUCUUUUUUUUUCUCCUUAUGUACACUAGCAAAAAAUAUAACAAGAUAUAUAUAUAGACACCUUUGACAAAAUAAGGUGGUACUUUCAUGACUACAAACUACAAACAAGAUAUAUAUAUCGUAUACGUUCUUGACAUAACAAAAUUUAAAAUUUAAAAUCACUUUAGAUAUAAACUUCAAAAAGCACAUUCGAUAGAUUCACAAUGCCACAACUUAAUUAUUAGACAACAAACAAAAGUUUAUAUAGUUGUUAUCCUUUGGCCUUGAUUUCCUAAUUCGAACGAACAAAAAUCAAUCAAAAAUCAACCAAAUGCUUCAUUGAGGCAUUUCAUCAAACACAUUGUAAGCUACCAAAAUGUUUCAUCACCAACCUACACAAAUUCUUGAAAACAAAGAAAAUAAUUUUAAAGAUUGCAAAGAAAUCGACACUAGCCAUGACAUCUCUUUUGGAAAUGAGGAUAAGAUCUUACCGGCGAAACAAUCCAAUGAAAUUGGGAUAAACUGAAAUCAAGAAACAAUCCAAUGGAGACAAUGAAGAACUUCAUAGAGAGAGAGAGAGAGAAAGAGAUAAGGAAGAGAAGCUUACCGGCGGAGCGGUGGCGGUUUUGCUUCGCGAACGGAGAGAAGGGAAGGAUGGGGCGGCUGGGCUGCGGCGGAAAGAAAGACGGAAGGGAACGCGCGGAAGGAAAAGAGAAAAGAGAAGGAAAGGAGAAGGAGACGGUGGAGUCGUCGCGCGACAUACGGGAGGAAGGAGAAGAGGCGCGGCGGUUGCGGCUGGGAGAAGGGGAAGGACGCACGGGGAGGAAGAAGGAAAUAGGGAAAAGAAAAAAAAGGAAAAAGAAAAGAAAAGGAAAAAAGAAAAAAAUUUUAACCCUAACAUGACAGUUAAUAACUGUCACGAAAGUGUUUUCCAAAAAAUUCCGUCUUUUCCCGCCAAAAACGCGAAAUUUUAUAUUUCGUGACAGUUUUUUUUUCUUCCAUUCAUUUUUUGAGAUAUAUAACUGUCAUUGUAGGGUAGUUUUCUUCUAGUGAUAGAUUUCAUUUUAGAACUGCCAAGGUCUCUGAAGGGUUAUAAAGUAAUUUGGUUUAUUGUUGACAAGCUCACGAAGUCAGCCCAUUUCACACUACUACAAAAACAGGCUCUCUUGACGUUUUUAAACUGUCAGAGAAGGCUUUCUUGACCGUUUUUAAAACCGUCGUUGAAGCCAGCGUCAAGAAAGGCAAAGUUCUUGACGGUUGAUUAAACGUCAAGAAUAGUGAACGUUGACGUUUUAGAAACGUCAAGUAUACUUAUGUUCAUGACGUUUUAGAACCGUCAAGAAUGGUAUUAUUUAUGACAUUUUAAAACCGUCAAGGAUGAACUGAUUUAUGACAUUUUAAAACCGUCAAGAAUUUUAAUAUUCAUGACAUUUUAAAACUGUCAAGAAUGUAAUUGUUCUUGACAUUUGUAAACCGUCAAAAAUGCAAUUGUUCAUGAUAGUUUAAAAUCGUCAAGCUUGCAAUUGUUCAUGACAUUUUAAAACCGUCAAGCAUUUUUUUUUUUUUUUAAAAAAAUAAUUUGUAAUUGAAUUAUGCUGUAAUGGAACGAUGAUUGUCCUGUAAUUGUCCUGUAAUUGUCCAGAAACAGUUUCAUAGAUAUUUGAUAUUCAUCCAAUAUAGUUUCAAAUCUCAAAAAUAUAUAAAUAAAACCAUUCACCAUAUAUAAUAUUCAAUUCCAAGACUUUACAUAUACAUAAUGAAAUAGGCUUUACAUUAGAUUUCAUAUGGCAUUACAUUGGCAUGAAUUCAAAUCAACUUACAAAGUCACAAAACAUGCCAGCUACAACAAUAAUCAAAAGUAUAUACGAAUGAACAACCCCCCCCCCCCCCUCUAUACAUAAAGUUUAAGGUCAUAAAGAAGCGGCACAACAAAAAACUUCCUACUUCAUGUAAGUUUAUGACCUUAAACUUUAACAAAAAAACAAACCGUCAAACACUGAUCAGAAUCACAAAAUAUUAGUCAUAGUCAUAUGUAAGAACCCAAAAAGUCAGCUAACUCAACUCGCACCUCGUCUAGUUCUGCCUGUGAGUAUGAUCUUCGUGUAUCAAUCUAUAUAUAAACAUGCAAAAUAAAUUAAAUGAAUUAACUGACUAUACAAAUAAACCAAUUAACUCACAAAAUUAAUAUAGUUUGAUAUAUAACAUACCGCAUCGGAUAUGACAAUGCUUCCCCUAGUCACAAUUUCUCUCAAAUACCUCAUGACGUAGUAUCCACACUCAGUACUCCCGACUUGUAGUGGACACUAUAUAAAAGCAACAAAUUUGAAUAACAAAGUAAUCCUUUGAUGUAGUGGACACUAUAUAAAAGCAACAAAUUUCACAAUUCCCACAUUUCAAACAAGGACAACGAAUAUAGGAGUUACUUGUAUUAGAAAAUCCAAAUUUGAUGAAGUUUUCCACACCCAACUCAUAAUCUUUAGACAAUCUACUCUUGUGCAUCCAAGAUUUAUCCAUCAUUGUAAAUCUAAUGAGAAAUAAAGUUAUUGUUUAUUAAUCAACAACAUUUUAUAUUAUAAAAGAGACUCAACCAAUAGAAGUUGAAAUAAAAAAAAGGACAAAUAUCGAUUUAUACCUCCGAACUUUGGAUAGCAUCAAUUUAACUUUUUAUGUAUGCAUCAAUUUAAAUUUUAUGACCGUGGAAGUAAAACAUAAUAAAACAUUUAAAUGGAUACAUACCCAAAAUUGAGAUAAUUGAAGUUCACAUGUGAAAGCAACAUGGCAUAGGAAGAAAGAAAAGAAAAGGAAGUAAAAGGGAGAGAGUAGGGGAGGGUUUUGGGAAGCAACAGGAAGAGGACUUGACUUUAUAUUCCCAAAUCCCAAAACAAAAUCCACUAUACAAUGAAAGCUUUUUAUAGCCUAAAAUUAGAAAACCCAUAAAUAAGAAUAAUAAAGAAAGUACUAAGAAGCAUUUAUUCUCUCACACCCAAUCUAAACGAAAAUCACAAGAUUCACAUCUGCAUCUCAUACAAACACCAUCUACAAUCUCCGUCUUGUCCACAUACACACAUUUAUAUAUAGAUUCCAUGACAAUCACGAUAUACAUUCGACAUCAAGUCUACUUCAAUUCAUAUACAUUCAUAUAUAUUUUCAGUCAACCCACAGUAUACAUUCAACACACAUACAGUUCACAAUCACAAUUCACAAUCACAAUUGAGUCCAGUAGAAAAUCUCUUACCUCGAUUUCUAUGCAAAUUCUUCAAUCUACUAAAUCCAAUGAAUCAAAUCCUAAACAUAAUCAAUCAUAAAAUCAACAUCGUUCUAAAUAGUUUCAACCUUUCAAAUUAGUCCAUAUGUAAAUUCCACAACUUACCGAAAUACUGGCGAACUGAACCCUCAACAAUUCACAAAUUGGUUGUGAAUUUAAGGGAGCCCAAGGUUACUCCCAACACCUCAACGCACGACUGUCGAACUCGCAGCAAAAUCCUAAGUGUGGGUCGGUCAGCGGUCGGCUAAAGGAGACGUGGUCGGAGAAUCGCGCGGCAGUGCAGCAGUGGAAUGAAGGUUGCGGCAGUUACAGGUGGAUGGGCGCGCGGUUUCGAUCCGAAGGAGAAAAGAGAGGGUGGCGGUUGGGUUCGGCGAGCGGCGCGGUUGGGUUCGGCGAGCGGCGGGGUUUUGCUUCGCGAACGGAGAUGGAGACGGCAGAUCGGCGCGCGGGACGACUGCAACGCAGAUCUGGACUGGCAGCGACGCGGUCUUGCUUCGCGAACGGAGAUGGAGACAGCAGAUCGGAAUGGAGGUCGCGGCGCUCGACUUCAGUAGGGGAGACGUGGCGGCCGACGGCUGCUGCGAACGGAAGAGAAGGGAAGGAGACGGUGGGUCGUCGCGGCGCACGGGAGGAAGGAGAAGAGGGGCGGCGAUUGCGGCUGGGAGAAGGGGAAGGACGCACGGGGAGGAAGAAGGAAAUAGGGAAAAGAAAGAAAAAGGAAAAAGAAAAGAAAAGGAAAAAAGAAAAAACAAUAUAUAUAUUUCUUUUUCUUUUCUUUUUAUUUAAAUUAAAUAUAAAUAAUAAAUAAAUAUAUAUAUAUAUAUAUAUAUAUAUAUAUAUAUAUAUAUAAUAAAAACAAAAAAUAUAUAUAUAUAUACCUUUGGGGCAUUACAAGCAGAGGUUCUUGGCGUUUUAAAAACGUCAAGAAUUUUUAUAAAUUUCUUGACGUUUUAAAAACGUCAAGCAAUUUUUACAAUAGUCUUGACGUUUUAAAACCGUCAAGAAUAUUUUAUAAAUUUCUUGACGUUUUUAAAACGUCAAGUAAAAUUUUAAAUUCUUGACGUUUAAGAAACGUCAAGCAUGUCGAAUUCAUACGCUUCUUAACGUUUUAAGAACGUCCAAAAAUUAAUAGAUAUUUCUUGAUGUUUUAAAAACGUCAAGAAAAAAUUUAUUUUUUCUUGACGUUUAAUAAACGUUAAGAAUGAUGUUUCAGAAAAAUUCUUGACGUUUUUUAUUAAAAAUGAAAUCUUUCUUGACGUUUUUCGAAAAAAACGUCAAGAAAGGAAAACAGCAACCGUCAAGAAAGCCUAUUUUUCUAGUAGUGUCAUCUUAGAGAAGUCCACUUGUACUGUCAGUAAGUGGGCACAGUUGUAUAUGACCGAGAUAGUGAGACUGCAUGGAGUGCUCGUGUCAAUUGUUUCUGAUAGAGAUGCCUAUUUUACUUCCAAGUUUUGGAAAGGACUUAGGCUGCCAUGGGCACGAGAUUGGACUUUAGUAUAACUGUUCACCCUCAGACUGAUGGUUAGACAGAGUGUUUGAGCCAAAUUUUGGAGGAUAUGUUCCGAACAUGUGUGCUAGAGUUUUCAGGAAGUUGGGACUCCUAUUUGCAUUUGAUGGAGUUCGCUUAUAAUAACAGUUAGCAGGCUACCAUUGACAUGGCAUCAUUUGAAGCUCUGCAUGGUAAGUGUUGUAGAUUCUCUGUAUGUUGGGGUGAGGUUGGUGCAGAGGAUGUUAUGUCCAAAGCUAGUUCAGACCACCAAUGAGGCCAUACAGAAGAUUAGAGCCCGCAUGUUGACUGAGCAUAGGAUGUUAUGUCCCAAGCUAGUUCAGACCACCAAUGAGGCCAUACAGAAGAUUAGAGCCCGCAUGUUGACAGCGCAGAGCAUACAGAAGAGUUACGCCAAUGAACAACGUAGGGAUCUUGAGUUCGAUGUAGGGGACAUGGUUUUUGUAAAGGUAGCACCUAUGAAGGGUGUUAUGAGGUUUGAGAAGAAGGGAAACCUGAGUCCACGUUUCGUAACUCAUCAUUUGGCAUUGCCUCUGUCAUUGUCUGCAGUUCAUGAUGUAUACGAUGUAUCCAUGCUGAGGAAGUGUGUAACAGAUCCAACACAUAUAGUUGAUUAUGAGUCAUUGCAAAUCAAUGAGAACUUGAGCUAUGAGGAGCAACCAGUUGAGAUUUUGGCAAAAGAAGUUAAGUUGCUUCAUAACAGGGGAAUUAAUUAAUGUUCUUUAUCAAAACCACGAGGUUGAAAAAGCUACUUGGGAGAGAGAGGACAACAUGAGAGCUCAUUAUCCCGAGCUAUACAAGGAUUAGAACUUUCAAGGACGAAAGUUUCUCAAAGGAGGGACGUAAUCUUAUUUUUAAAUUAUCUUAAUUUAAUUUAAUUUAUGAUGGAUUUAGUCUAGUGUUAUAAUUUUUUAGAAUUGUUUGUUUUGUGGAAAUUGUGAUUAAUUAAAUGUUCAAUGGAAGAUUAUUUAAUUAAUUGUAUUAUUGGAAAUUUUGGUGAGAUUUAAGAUUAUUGGCUAAUUAUAUAAGUAAAUAUAAUAAACUAAGUCAUGGAAGGGUAAGAAUAAUUUAUUAUUGACUUUUUUAGGAAAGAUAUUUUUG